UUGCUUUUUAUGCAGGGUCGCCAGGUUGAGCGCACCUCCUGCUCAAGGUGUUUGACCUGUACAACAGCACGCAGCACUCAGCAGACCAAGGAGACACCUCCGCUUGCAUCUUCCGGGGUUUGGCCACCUGGGCCACCGCAGCUGGCGAGAAGAGCUUUGCCACGUUCUCACCCACGGCACCCAGGGCCAAAAAAAUGCUACUUUUUUAGCGUGGUUGGGGGGCUCCGCCCUCUGAUGAGGCAUUCGCAGGUGUGGAUGUCGCUGCACAAGGGGCAGCAUGCUAAGAACAUGCGCGUGGUGAGUGGGGUCAAGCCUGGUGACCGUGUACGAUUGUUGGAGGGCACGGGUCUGUUCGACAAGGAGAAGGCCACCUAUUCAUAGGACAUUUUUACACCGUGACUCGGCAGAAGGGCUAUAGGUUCGCCGUGGAGGGCAAGCGACGCCUGCAUAGCCCGUCAGAAAUGCUGUUGGUACGUGAACUGACUACAGGGUAGCAGGCGGGGUAGAACGCCAGGUAGAGGCAGCAUAGAGCAGCGCCAGGUGCGGCGUGUUGCGCGUGCUCUUGCCUCAACUCAGCAGCAGGCUACGCGCGCUAUUGAAGCUCAAGAGGCACCACCAGCUGCGCCUGCAAACAAGCCUGCGGGCAAGCGUGGCAGCAGGAAGGGCAAGCGUGAGCAGGUCGCGCUUCGAGGACAGCAAAUUUGUAAAGGGCAAGCUGCAAUUUUUGGUGAGAUUUAAAGGAUUUCCCAAGGCUGAAUGGCUGCCCGCGGCUCAGCUGCAAGGGGACCUGAGCUCCGACGCUUACCGCGCGCUUCACAAGGCGAUGAAGAACUGAAGCUAGUCGCUUAUUACUCACAAGAGCAAAAAGACUAAGAACAGCCUCCAUUGUUCGACUUCGGAGUUUCAGCCGAGUUUCCGCCGAGUUUCCGCCGAGUUCUGACUGAGUUUCCCUUGAGUUUCUGUGCCUCGCUCCUUUCGCCCCACAGCGCGGCGCCGCCCCCGCCGCGCCAGUUUCAGUGCAGCCCCCUCGCGCCGGUUAGCCGCAGCCGCGUGUGAGCUCUGAUGCAGCUCGAUCGUAGGUAGGAAGACUGACGCGCCGCACUGGUGCGCGCAGUGCACCGCACGCGGCCAUGUCCUCACCUGGCUGGAUCACAUACCAUCACAUCCCACACGCCACUUCCCAGCGCGGCGGGGACGGCUGGCGCCGCCCCGCCGCGCCAGUUACAGUGCAGUCCGUGUGAAUCCCGUGUGCAGCCCAGAUGCAGCUCAUGGAAAGGCGCAGCCCCAUGCAUCCCAUCUGAGUUUACACGCAGCUCACACGCAGCUUCCCAGCCGGCACCACAUGCAACUGCCAGCUCCCACUCGUGCGCCACGCCAACCGCCAGCCACCACCCCCUGACCUCCGCCGUACACCUAUGCACUCAUGUCGCUUCACAGCCGGUCUCCCGCGCAACUUCCAGCUCCCAGCCGUACAGCUACCCGACUCAUGCCAACGACCUGUGUGCGUGCCCCCAGGCUCGGCAGCUUCCCAGCCGGCCCACCGUACAACUACCAGCUCCCAGCCGCGGCAGCUACCGACACCCAACCGCAGCUGAGGGGGGUGGGGGUGCCGUGCACGAGUUCGUUCGGCGUUAGUUGGGCGUUAGUUGGAGCUGUCCCAGGAUGAAGGUUUAUCUAUUUUUUGACCCCGCAGCCUAAGCUGCCUCUUUUGCCAAACCGGCAUGCUCUUGCCGAGCCCCGCCCCUGCGAACUCGCCAUACAUACCAAACCCCACCUACUGUGCGUUGCCGCAAUUGGCGGCCUACCCUCCUUCGAGUCAACGCCUUGCGCACGCACACUAUUCAACAUGUGCCGUGCAUUCCGCAUUUCGCUCUCUCUCUCUCUCUCCGAUUGCAGCAACCCAAUAGGCUUACGCCUGGAACAGCGGCGUGCUCAGACAACUCCAAGGACAAGUAUAUCCGUGGCCGUAACCAGCUUCUGCUAACCUUUCUAACUUAUGUGGAACGCACGCCACGCCUUGCUUCACGGUUCCAGGCGUCGCCAGGUGCCCUGCUCCGCAUACCUUGUAACCCCGCGCACUCGCCCCAAGCGUGCCCGUGGACGUCCUACCCAGCGGAGCCCAAGGAGCAAUUGUCAGCAAUUGUUGCCAAGUUGGUAACCUGUCUGCGCUACAGCCAUAGCCGGGCACCCUGUCUCAUCGCACUCCUUCUCCACACUCGCCCCGCAUCAAUGCAUCCCGCCGCCCUCAGUCGCGCGAGUGAAGGUGGCAUAGCCGAUGGCCACCGCCGCCGCCACAUACACACCCGCCAGCAGCGCAGUCGAGAACAGCGCACCGCGCGAGCGACCUGCCAGCGCCGUCCCCGCCCUGCCCAGCAGCCUCGCCAGGCCGGAGCGCCCGCCCACCUCGCCUAGCAGCUCCGGCCCCGGCCACUCCAGCGGCGGCUCAGGCGGCACAUGCCAGACCGCAGGCACGCCCUCCAUGCGCGCCGCGUGCGCCACACAGGCGCUCAGCACAAGCCCGGCGCCUGGCUCCGCCUCUCCUGCCGCCGCGCCGCCUCCACGGCCACGGCCAGCCUUGUCACCAGCGGCUGGCAGCGCUCCGCGCCGCUGCCGCAGCCCAGCGCCUCCGCCCUUGACGGCCGGCGCUCCGGGUGCGCCCGGCCCCCGGCUGGGCUGCAUCAGCGCCGCCAGCAGCACGUGCGGCGGCUUGGCCCGCCACAGCGCCUCCGCCUGCCGCAGCAGCUCCUCCAGUGCCGGCAGCUGUGGUGCCUUGGCGCCGCCCGCCCCCGCCCCUCCUCCAUGCCCACCGCGCCUGCCCCCGCCCCCGUCGGCGCCACCGGGCACCAGCUGCAGGUUGGUCAGCGCCGAGUGCAGCUCCGGCAUCUCCUCGCACGCCAGCAGCGCCGCCCGCUGCGAACGCAUGGCCACGGCGCCCAGGUACAGCGGCAUGAGCGGGUGGGAGGCCAGCAGGAAGUCGAAGAGCCGCGCCGCGGGCGCCAGGCUGUGCAGCUCGUGCGCCCACCAGGUCAGAAACCAGGACAGCGCGAAGAAGGGCUGUAGCCCUAAGGCGCCCAGGUGGCGGCCCAGCGCGGGGUCGGCGGCGGCCACCAGCGGCGGCACCAGCCCCAGCAGCUGCACCACAGGCUCCAGGGUGGGCCGCGUCGCGUCGCGAAGGUGCGUGGUGGCAAGCCGCUGCAGCAGCGCGAACGCCAGCAGCUCGCCGGCGGCGGCCGCCGCGGCGUCAGUGGUGGUGGCGGUGGUGGUGGAGCCGGCGGCGUCGUGGGCGGAAUUGGGGUCAGGGUGUGCGUGGCUGGAGGCGGCGGCUGUGGAGGCGGGGGCGGUGCGGUGGCCCUCAGUGUCGUAGGCGAAGGCAGCGGACAGCUGCGGCUCCGACUUGGCGCGGCGGCGGCGGCCGGCGGGCGCGGUGGCCACCCCCGGCUCGUGCGCUGCGGCCCCCGCCGCCAACUGGUGGUGGUGGUGGGGGUGCGGGUCGGGGUGGCGGGUUGCCGGCACGGACAUGGACAGCAGCAGCACCCCCGCCACGUCGUGCAGUCCUUGGUAAUAGUACACGUCACCUGGGGGGCGGGCAGGCAAGCAGGGCGGACCGCGGUUCGAGGAGGCGACAGACAGCUGUGUUGGGGUUGCGCUCCCCACGCCAGGCGCAAACGCCAAGAGGACCCUAGCAACCUUACAACCCACCGCGCCGCAUCGCGCCGCACCUGCGUGUGCGCCCACCACCGCGUUCAGCAGCCGCUUCAGCUGCGCCCGCCGCGCCUCGCGGUCGUCGUCGGCGGCGAAGCUCCACAGCGACCGCGCCACGUCCACCUCCACCACACCCGCGUCCCGAUGCGGCGCCUGCGACCACUGCAGAUAGCGUUCCCAGUCCCAGUCCCACUCCGGCUCGCCGCCGGCCGCCGCCGCGGCUGCGGCUUCCUUCGGCGGCAGCGACACAGGCCGCGGCGGGGACUGAGGCUCUGCGUCUGGACCCGAUCCAGCGUCUGAGCUGGGCCCUGGUUCUGGUGCGGGGGCGGAAUCGGACCCAGGUUCUGCCUGGGCCGCCUUGGCUGCAGCUGCAGCCCCCGACUCCGACCCUGACCCCGCUGCCACUCCGUUGUGAGCACGCCCGUUGCUGACCGCGUCCUCACUCCGUGCCCCGGCCGCUGUUCCUGCUGCUGGCGACGAGUCUCUCCGCCGCGCCGUGUCUGCCUCCCCUGCCGCUGCCUCGCCCACACCCACACAGCUGCUGGGCCCCCUGGGCGACUCGCCGGCGCCCCCAUCGCCCCCUGCCAAUGCUCCUGACUCGGUCCUGCAUGGCGCCGGGAGCUCCGCGGCCUGCAGUGGCAGCGGCGUGGAGGCCGCGCGUGGCGAGGCUGGCGACUGCGCUGCUGCACUCUGCCACCCGCACGCCUCCGCUGCCAUCCCCUCCGCACCCGCAGCCCCCGCCGCCUCGCCUCCGCCUGCCGCCUGUCCCGAGCUCAAGCCCGCAGCUCCGCCGUCCUCACCCGCUUCCGCCUCGCUGCCCUGACGCUGCUCCUCCGCGCCCGCUCCUCCGUCUCCACCUGUGUCACCACCUAUAUCCGUCACCACCGCAGGCGCAAGCUCUGCCACUGCCGCCGCUGCAGUGCUGCCGGCUGCCGCCACCGGUGUGGAGGGCGCCAGCGAGGGCGACAUUGCCAGGGCCAAUGUCAGGCCUCCGCCCGGCGGCGGCGUGAUGCCCAGCAGCCGCGGCCACACCACGGCCCGAAUGCGGUCGUUGACGAAGCCGUGCGUCACAGCCAGCCGCCGCAGGCGGGACAGGUCCUGGAGCGGCGCGGGUUGGCGUGAGGGUUGGGGACGACGUGAGCCCGGCUGCCACACGCAGUUUGCAAGACAUCUCAUCCACUGGCAAUGGCCUGAAACAUAGCUUUCUAUUCUCAAGCUGUUUCCAAAGCGCCGGCCAGACUGCGCACGCAGGAUCCGUGUGUGACAGGACCUGGACCUAGACAUGACAAUGCCCGGCCCACCUCGGGGGAUCGCAGCGCCUGCACCACCAGAGUGGCGGUGCGCAGGUCGGCGCCUGUCAGCCCCUCCAGUAGCUCGUCAUAGGCGUCGGCAUAGAGACCCGCCGACCGAGCGGGCCCGAACCAGUUCGUGGAUGAUGAGGCGCGGGCCAGGUGACGUAAUAUGGCCGGGGGGUCGCCGCCGUGCGUGCCCAGCAGCCCCGGAGCCGAAGCCUGCUGCAGCUCGGCGUCGGCAUCGUGGCCCUCAGCGACGCCGAGCAAAGCGGCGGCAUUGCCGUGUGUUCCUGAUGCCCGGCCAAGAGCCGGCGAGGGCAGCGAGGCGGGCAAGUCCGGCCCGCUCCGGUCGUGUACCGCCAGCGAAUUCGGACCACCAAGCGAGGCCCGCCUCGAGCCACCCCGAGAGCCCGGCGACUGCUCCAUAUGUGAGCUUGAUGCUGCUCCUCCAUGGCCCCGGUGGCUGGAUUUGCGUUUGUGCCCUUGUUUCUUCUUCCCCAUCUUUAGUGCCCUCACGCUACAGCCCUAGACGUUGUUGCAACGCUGCAAAAGCUUGAAUGCAUUUGUAUUACAAAUGACGGUCCAGGACGAGCGAACGCGGUAAACCCUUGCGCCUUUGUUGGUGAAAGCGCCCCUGGCGCCAAGCUAGCGACAUGUCCAGGCGUCGGAACUAAGGUUAUUCUUGACAACUUUGUUAUCUUAAACGAAAAAAAAUUGGGAAUGCGCGUUGCGGAACCCAGCGCUCACCAUUCUGCAUCGGAAACACAUUCGCCGCACGCACGCUAGAUCCAGAUAGGUCCCCGAGGCCCCCGAGCCCAGGAACUGCAGCGCGACACAGGCCACAAAUACCUGGCAGUACACAUACCUCAUAUGCCCAAUCUGCUCACCGAGGCGUUGGCAGCCUUCAAGCCCGCAAGUACUGCCAAACACCCGCAGCCCUGCACACCACGCACCGCCCCUACAUCCUCCAUCGCACCACCCGACCCUCACCAUCGUCUUCAACCCCUCCUCCGACACAUCCUCUAACACAUACACUCUCUCCUAUCACCGAACCAAACUCUCAAAACCUGCAUGCAACCUUACACCUGCACAAUCUCCACGGUCCAGUCGUGCGACACGGGCAGGUCGGGCUUGCGCAGCACCAGUGCCUGCGUAGAGUCGGGCGCCGCCGCCAUGCUGAGCGGCCCCGCCUCCAGCGCCACGGUGUGCUUGGCGCCGCUGACGCCGUCGCUGAUGACGGCCUUGUAGCCCUUCUUGGCGGCGGGCAGGCCCAGGAACACCACACGCUCAAUGGUGGUGGGCACGGUGAGGGUGCCGUCCGGCACGCCCGGCUCCACAUGCUUGGUGGAGGUGAGCUUGUUGCCGGAGAACUUGAAGUCCCUGCGGGUCGGUGAGGGCGCGUGAAGGAAAGGAGCAACCAUGUUAAAGCCUGGUGAGCACUUGAUGUAUACAGACUGCACGAAGCCUGCGCCUGUGUGAUUCAGUGCACCCACGCCCCAUGGCCACGCCCAACGACACCCGCCGCAUCCGCUCCUCCCCAGCACCUCAACACCCCACAGCACCCCACCGCCCGCCACCCGGCCCGUGCUCUCACCUGUGCAGGUACAGGCCGCGCUGGAACGCGAAGGAGCGGCCAUCGUCCACGUACAGCUGGCCCUCCGCCUCGCCCUUGUCGUCCGCCGCCACCACCAGCGUAUAGGGGUCGGCCAGCUGCGCCGCGGUGGAGCGGCGGGGGCGCUCGCGGCGGGGCACCACGGAGCCGCCGCGGUAGUAGACCGGGAUGCCGUUCAGGUUCACCUGGCGGGGGGGGAGAGGGGGCGGGGGGCGGGGCAUGGGCGGGGGGGCGGGGGUGCGCAGUUGAAGCGGAGCGGGAGAGCAACAUGGGGGGCCCGGCGAAGAGCCAGGGAGCGUGGGCGCAUUACGGCACGGCGAGUACUGGCUAGCACUGAGUGGCACAAGGCGGGCUGCUGGGCAACAAGCGGUUUGCUGGGACAUAGGGUACGGUACUGGCACGAGGCGACGCCGCGACGGCUGUUGACCCGAAGAAUGAUGACCCGACGGCUUAGAACACGCGGCACGCGCGCACGCAAGCACAUGCACACACACCUCGACGCGCUGCGUCUUGGUCUUGGGCGGCACGGGGGCGCCGGUGGUGGCGUCGUACCAGCGGGAGCCCUGGGGGAAGGUGACGUCCACUGUGAAGGUGGAGGGCGCGGUGACGGGCUUGACCAGCAUGGAGCUGCCCACCAUGAACUCCUCCUCCUCGGCGUACAGGUCUGGGGGGGGGGGGGGGAUGGAGCGGAAAGGGGGCGGCGUUGGGUGAGGAGUUCGACGUCAGGCGGUGGCGGUGAUGGGGAGGUGGGAGCCAAGGUGUGUCCAGGGUGUGGGGCCAGCGCGGUGAUGGGCGCAACAGCAUUCCCUCGGCGCCCACUGGUCGCUUAUCCCCGGCCCGUCCGUCCGCCCCACGCUGCACCCACCCUCCUGCUCCGGGAACUCGAACCACAGCGGGCGCAGGAUGGGCUGGCCGGUGGUGUUGGCCGCGCGGAAGAGCGUGUAGAUGUGCGGCAGCAGCGCGUAGCGGCCGCGGAUGGCGGCGCGGAUGCGGGCGGUGACGUCAGGGCCGAACAGCCAGGGCUCGCGGCGCUGGGUCUCCAGGUGGGCGUGGCCGCGGAAGAAGGGGUAGUAGAUGCCCAGCUGGUACCAGCUGCGGAGGGAGGGUGGGUGCAGGGCGGAGGGCGAGUGGGUGCAGGGCGGCGUGUGAGUAGGGGUUGCAUCCAGGAUUAGCUAAACGCAUGGUAGGGGUGUGGGCAUGCCGGGUCAGGCAGUGGCGGCGGGCCGCAGACGGGGUGGUUAUGGUGGAGAUGCAGUAUGAAGGGGGUUGAUUCCGAUUGUGUGUGGGACUGGUGGUUCCCACUUGAGGAUAUGUGCCGCAUGGACAUGCCGCAUGCCGGCUGCCUCGUCCAGUCCUCCUCCGCCCACCGCCAACCCCGCCUCCUCCUCCUCCUCCUCCCACCACCCCCAUCGCUAAGUGGGCUAACCCCCCGCGUGCCACUCCGUUGCCAGCACAGGCCACGCUCUCCUCCGUGCUCUAUUGCAUUGGGUUCGGUUUAGUUUGGGCUGGUACCUACAACCCCCCCCCCACACACAGCUCGCCGCCCUCCUCACCGGGUCAUGAGCUCGGCGUCGGGGUUGCCGAAGAAGCCGCCCACGUCGGCGCCCGAGUAGGGCAGGCCGGUGAGGCCCAGCGUGAGCAGCAUGGGCACCGACACCUUGAGGUGGCUCCACUGCGCCGCGUUGUCGCCCGUCCAGAUGGGGCCCACGCGCUGGGUGCCUGUCGUCCCGGGGACGGGCAGGGCGAGAGGGUGCAGGGGGGAUUCCAUACAGAGUCAAGACUGUGGUGAUGUUGACAAGUUGUUUGGGUGGGCAGGGGAAACAGGUUAGGGGCGGGAUCGAGGCGUGGAGCGACACGCAAGUUGAGGUGCGGCGGCGCGCAGGUCGAUGCACGUGCGGUGUUGCAAAGGUUGCUGUAGUUGGUGCAGGCAAGCGCCGUGGCACGCACCCGAGAAGAAGGCGCGCGACAGCACGAAGGGGCGGUCGCCGUUCUCCGGGUCCACCUGCACGUCGGGGGCAGGGGCGCCGUCAGUGGCAGGAAGAGGAGCGGGCAGGCGACAGGUGCAGAUGAGCGGCCGGUGAGGCCCCAGGUGCACGCAAAGCGCGCGCACGCCCCACGCGGCUUUCCAUCGCCCCUACGCGGCGAACCAUCGAAUCCACCCAGCACUCCUGUGCUGCGCCCCGAGCCCCGGUGUACUCCUCUGCCAUACACGGGCACGCGCCGCACCGCACCCUGCCAGGAACGAGCACACAUGCACACACACGCACACACACACACGCGCGCGCCUACCUGGCUGCCGCGCAGCUUGAGUCCGUCUGCGGUGCCCAUGUGGUAGUAGACGCCGAACAGGUUGUGGUUGUCGCGGUGCUCCACGUUGCCGUAGUGCAGGUUGUCCUUGUGCAUGGUGAUCUGUGUGUGUGUGUGUGGGGGGGGGGUGUUACAUUCAUGAUUUCGCAAGAAGUGAAAAAGGCGCGGGGGGCCAGGGCAGGGGGUGAGCGGCGGCGGGGCGGGGCGGCGGGUUGGCGGGAGGGACAGGGGUGAUGGCAGCACAUGAAGCCUCAAGCUACGCGCAAGUACCAGUCACCUUCAGGAAAACAACAUGUUCCAUUUGCCCGAGUGCCGCACGGCCACCCAAACACACCCCUACCAAGCCCUCUGCAGCAUGGUCGGGCCCAGCACACCGCCCCUUCCCCUCGUGCCUUCCCCUCCCUUCUACGUUCUGUCGCCUGUGUGUAUACCGAGCCUGUGUGGCAUUCCUGCCGCAUUUGGUUCCGUGCUCGGAAAGGUGUGGAACCCCCCCCUUCAAGCCUCCCCUGCUCCCCCGCACCUCGGGUCCGUUGAACACGGACGGCUCAUUCAUGUCGUUCCAGAUGUACAGGUGCUUGGUGCUGCCCUGGUACUUGUCCGUGGUGAACUGCUGCGCCCACCAGUUGCGCACCACGGGGCUGGUCACGUCCAGGUAGCUGGACUGGCCGGGCCAGCACCAGCUGCGGAGGGGAGCGGGCGGGUGGGGGUUACAUUCAUGAUUGGAUCAGGAAGCGGUAGACGGUAGACCAUGGGAUAGAGAGGGGCGGGCGGGCGGGAAAGGAGGGGGUCGUCGGGGCUCAGGGCUGUGAUCACACGGCAGGAUGGAUGGCGGAUGGAUUGCAGAUUGCGGUAAUUAUGGCUUUGGCAACCCGCAGCCCGCCGCGUGAUAUGAAGGUCUACAGUUGAAGUUGCGGUUGGUUCAUGCGCCCGUCGUCCACCCCUGUCACCCUCACCACCACAACUACAACCACAGCCCCGCCCGUGUACCCCGCCUCACCCGUCGAAGUCCGAGCCGUGCUUGUUCUUCACGUAGUGCCCGGCGCUCUCGGCCUCGCUGAAGAUGUAGUACGAUGAGUCGCGCUUGACGUGCGGGUCCACGAUGGUGACCAUCUUGCGGCCGCGGCUGGCCACGUCCUCCUGCAUGGCCACUGGGUUGGGGAACAGGGAGCUGUCCCAGGUAAGGUACCUGCGGACAGGGGGGGAGUGCAGGACCAGGGGAGGAGCAGGAGGAGGGGAGGAGGAGGGGAGUGAGCGCGUGGGAAGUUUGCAGGAGGCCGUGGGACAACCCACGGGGGGUGCCGCGCUGCGGACUGCGCGCCGUCGCAACGCCACGGCUUGGUCUGAAGUAGGCCCCUCCUGCCCCUUUCCCUUCCCUGCCCCGUUGCUGUGCUGCCACCGCCGCUAGCGCCGCUGCGACCGCCGCCGCCGCUCCUGGCCGCCGCCCACCUCUUGCCGUUGGUGUGCUCAAUGUCGAGCCACAGCACGUCGUAGGGGAUCUCGUGCGCGUCGAAGCCGCCGUCCACGGCCUUCACGUCCGCCUCGUCCUUGUAGUUCCAACGGCACUGAGGACGGGAGGAAGGGAGGGGGGUGGCAGGCGGGAGGGAGGGAGGGGGCAGAGGCGGUGUGAAAGACAGGUGAGACCGAGGCCGCGGGCUCUUGCUGCUGUUCCCCACCUUCACUCCUGCUGCCACAGAAGCAAGGGAACUCGCAUGCCACAGCCACGACCCCCACAUGGUUUCAGUGCAUGUGGGCUAAAACCUACUUACCUCAAACCCCACCUCCGCGUGCACCGACGGCCUGCAACCCUGCUGCCUAUCCCUCCCACCCGCAGCCUCGCCGCCCCUCGUCUCACCCACACCCACAGCCACACCCAUCACAUCCCCAGCGGCCCCUGCAGCCCCUGUCUCGGGCCCCUGUCCAUCGUGCCUCUUUCUGGCGAUGGUGGAAACACCCGCCUGCGGCCUGGGCUCGCCCUCUCCGCCCGCCUCACGCCCCUACCUGGUGGUAUCCCAGAGAGAACAGCUGCGGCAGGGCCGUGGUGCCGGCCACCUUGGCGUACGAGGCCAGCACCGCCGGGCCCGUGGCGCCCGUGAACACAAACAGGUCCACCACGCCGCUCUCAGCAAUCCACUGCGUGCCCACGUCGCGCCCCUUCACCACGUCCACAAACAUCUCGGCCGCGUUGUUCCUGGGAAGCGGUAGGGCAGGGCAGCGGCGUGAGGGGUGUGCGGCCAACGACCAGGUCUAGGCCAGGACACGUGGCGCAUCUGACUGCCGUCCGCAGGUGCUUCAAGCCGUUACCGUUGCAGGACUGUGUCUAAGGCGCUCUAUCCACAGUCGAUUGCCGACCCCGGUGCAUUUGUACUUGUUUUCGACACCCAUCCAGUUGACAGCCCCUCCCCAUGCCGCCGCCCUCCCUCCCUCCGCCCCGCGCCGCCGCCUCACCAGUACACGCCCACGGUGAGGCCCUUCUUGUGCGCCAGCAUGACUGGGAUGGAGCCGUACAGGCCGAAGGGGUGGUCGUCCAGGUACUCGAACACGUCCAGGUUGUACAGGCGGUAGGGCUCGCCGUACGGAGCGUUGCCUGUCAAGGACGGGGAAUGGAGGCAGGCACCAGCUCGGUUCGACAGCACACGGGCGCACAGGGAACCUGCAACCACCCCACCCUUCCUGGAACUGGAGCGCUAUGCGUGGAUGACCCCACAACCGCCCCUCCACGUCAGAACUCCAUCCUCCCCCCAAAGCUCGCACUGCAUCCCUGGGUUGGUUACAAUUCGACUAUUGAGACCUAUUCGUUGGGCUCGCGCACAGAACCUCCCGCCCUCAAACGCCCACACGCCUCCAACCCAUCCAUGCAGCCCGCGCCCGCUGCUCCUGCCACCCCCCAAACCGCCGCAUCCGGCCCCACCAGCACCGCCCUCGCCUCCCGCACCCACGCCUGCCCAGCCCUCCCUUCACCUCCCCCCUCCCCGGCCCUGGGCGCUCACCCCUCCCGAACCACCACCCGGGGCGCCCACCGUUGGUGGCCUUGAGCGACAGGCUGGUGGCGCGCUCGGGGAUGCCGUACACGUGGCUGAAGCCGGGGAACACCAGGUCCAGCGACAUGGCCUCAGGGCCCUUAGGCUUGGUGUCGGUGUGGCCCAUCCACGUCUCCUCCCAGUAGCCCGCAGGGUCGGAGUCCUGAGGGGCGGAGGCGGGUGGGGGUUGGGGAGGUGUGGCGGUGGCGGUGGCGAGGUGGGGAUGGGAGGCGGGGAGGUGGGGAUGGGAGGUGGGGAGGUGGGGAGGCGGGGACAGGGGAUGGCAUGAAGGAAGUGACGUGUAGCGCCAGGUACAACAAGGAUGGAUGGAGUGGGGUGUAGGCAGGCAUGUGCGCAUUUGGGAGGGAAGGCGAGGGGCGGGGGUUUGGGGGCGGGUGCAGCUGCGGCGUGCACCGGGGCACGGAUGCGGGCGUGCGCUUGGCUCACAAGUGCAACAUCCGUACCGUCCGCGGCGGUGGCUGCCCCGGUUUUGACACGCCGACGGCUGCCCCAGCCUACUAUCAGCCACCGCUCCUUCCAGCACCUGCCCUGCUAUUGCCACCCCUCUAGCUCAACCCUUCUGAAACUCCCUUGCGCCCCACGCCCCACCUGCUUGGGGCGGCGGUGCUCAAAGUUGAACAGGUUGCGGCUGUUGAGCUGCAGCGCCGGCACGCCCUUAACGCUGACCGCCAGUGUGAACGGUGCGUAGUUGAGCUCCAGCUUGGUGUCCCCAGUCACCAGCACGACGCCGUUGGCGCUGCGGCUCUCCUCCUUGAUCGCCGCCUUGCGGGUCUCCCACCCAGACACCAGGAUGUCGCUGGGGACCUGGUAGCGGCCCACUGAUGGCAACUCGUCUAUGAGCAGGCGCACGAAGCCAUCGGCGUGCGCCGUCAGCGUGAGCUGCAGGUGCUUGCUGGCCUGCUUGUUCAUGAGCGUCGCGGUCAGCGUCGCCGUGUUUAGCGUAACUGAGGCCGGGACAAUCUCGAAGUUGGCGCCCUGCUGCACAUUCCUGUUCCGGGAGCAGAAGCUCGUCUGGGCGCACUUCUUAAACUCAUUCUCCUUGAACGCCAGCGAUCCCGGCAGCAGAAGCCCAAGGAGGGCAAGCCCAACGCCCAGCGCGAUCGCCCGGCGCAUUUCCUCCAAGUGCUGCUCAAUACGCUCUCAGGUAGAUGCUAUCGUGUUAUUAUAAACGUAAAUGAUGAUGUAAUGAAAAUUCAACUGCAACUUCGGCCUGCACACGGCCUGAGUACGUGCACCUAAGCCCCAGCAAGCCACGGUGAAUUAAUCCGCCUUUUGUUUGCCUAGCGGCAUAACACACCACCGUCCUCGUAUGCACGCAUGUGGCAAAUCGGAAGAGUCUGCAUGGCGCGGGUGCACCAUGGUGUUUUGAUGCCCUGUCAACAAUGCCUGCACACGUGACACGCAACACUGCGCCUACGCAGAAUCCAGGUAUAGUGCAGGACUGCAGGUCUGUGGAACGCCAGGCUAACUGGCCGCACGCGGCGGGAAGGCCCUGGCCACAGGCCUUUGCCCAGAACGCCAGCCGCCCAUUGCGAAUGCACCCCCCACACACACACACAACCUGCAAGACGAUGAAUUUGUCCGGGGUCUUGGUCGCAGGGUAAGUAGCGCAGACAUCACUUCAAAGGAACACUUGCCCUUCUACCUGUUUGGCCCCUGGCGGGCUGUGGCUUCGCAUAUGUGGCUGCUGGCAGGACAGGGCGGGACGCUGCGGGGCCUGCCCGCUGCCUGCCACAUCAACGGGUGCAGAGAUUGGGCGUCGCCCUCCCUAAAAAGUUAUCACAAUACAAUAUCAUCACCACAUGCAUUUAUCCUGGCUUUCUGCUUACUUCUUUAGUGGACAGUUCAGUAUAGGUUAUCUGUCGCAACGACUGCGUGUGCGUCAAGGCUGCAGGCAAUGGCAAGCUAGGUGACAUAAGAAGCCUCUGCUUGCGAGGCAGAGGUUGUCAGGAGUAGCAGGGGCGACGCGGCUGCCAACAUGAGCGCGGCAAAUGAGCGCGCUGCGCUGCAAGGUGCACAGCCGAUGGUGGACCUGCAAAAGCUGCUUGCGGACGUGUAUGACAAUGCCCUCACGGAUUUCGUCCAGUUGUCGACCGAGCAGGGACUCGGGGACAGCGAUCGGUAAGCAGUGCUGCGAGCCACAAUGCUAAAAGGCUGUUUGUAUUGGCUCUGAUGUCCACAUAAUUUGCUCCGGCCCAGUACCGCUCUCUGGCGGCUGGCUAGUCAGGGCUCAGCCCUCCCCUCGCACUGAGCACAGUCCCUCCCCCGACGCCUCCGCAGCAAACACCGGCUGCUGCUGCACCUUCAUGGCACGCGCCAGCAGCUGUUGCGGUCGCUGGCGCUGGUCAAUUGGAAGCCCAUGAAGGUGCGGGCCCACAGCAGCCAGGGGCUCAUGGGUAGGGCGUCAGGCGGGGCCGUUUAAGGAUUUAUGCGGCGGGCUUUCACAGCCGGCUAUCGCGGUCUCCUCUCAGUGCCUGCACGGGGGACCGGUCAUGAGCAGCCAACCUACACGUAGGUAGCAGCAUGUACAGGAGCAUGGGGCGUGGAAAUUGUGUAUGGCCAGCGUCCAUGUUGGGCGGCCGUGCAGGAAUGAUGCUGGUUGGCGCACCGAUGCGCACGCCUGCGCGUGCAAGCCACACGCCACCCUACAGCGCGCGACCUGUGCCAAAACCUUUUCAAUCGAAGCACUGCGACACUCACCACCACACCCACACACGCGCUCGGUGGGCUGGCUUCGGGUUCAGGGUCUCCUGUUUCCAGAGUAUGUGGGACUCGUUCCAACCACCCACCACCACCACCUCCUCACCACAGGUGCUUGCGGAGCUGGCGGACCACGACCGGGUAUUGGACCUGGCUGCGGGCCACGUGCGCGCCUGCACAGAGCUGGUGAACGCGCUGCGGCAGCAGGCGGCGGGCCGCAUCAUGGCGGGCGCCUACCUCAACGCCUUUGACGUCAACACGGCGCUAGAGGUGCUCACCACAGGUGCGGGGACAGCGUGGGGCGGCUGCGGGCGGGAGGGAGGGAGGGGAGCGGGCGGCGUGCGGGAAGGGACGACUGCAGCAGAGGCAGGGGGCUGUGUACGGUGAGAGCGGGGGCGCGGGCAAUGGGCGGGGUGCGGCUGGCUUUGCAGCCGGCUUGUGGUCGCUGGGAUGCAUGAUGCAUGUGGGCGUGCCAGGCGGUGGCGGCGUGGCGGCGUUGACGGCGCCAUCGCAAGGACUGGGGCGCGGGGAAGGCGGGUGCCCCAGACCGGCGUCAAAGCGUGGCCUGGCCAGGCCGGGCCCUGCGCCCACGCGCCGCUACGGGCAUCUGCUAAAUGCGCCCUUGCAUUCGCGCCGCGUGACGCCGUGCCGUGGUGUUCCCCUUACGCGCCCGCAGGCACGUACCAGGAGCUGCCGUCCAUCAUCCUGCACCGCCCGCCGCUGUUCCAGCCGCCACCCGCGCCGCUCAGCCGUCAGCGCUCGCGGCUGGCGCACGUGACGCACCUCAUACGCGCGCGGCUGGUGCAGGUGCGCCUCCGCGGGCUGGCGCAUGAGGGGUGUGUGGAAGGUCGAGAGGGUGCGGCGGGCUGCGGCGGGCUGCGGCGGGCUGCGGCGGGCUGCGGCUUGGUGUGGGAAUGGGAAGGUCGGGCGAAGUGCGCCGCAGCAGCCGGGAGGUCUUGGGUCUGGGGCCGUUGGGCCCUGGGUGGUUGGGUGGUUGGGUGCUGGGGCAGGGAGCGCGCACGGCAGUGCGGUGGAGGGCGCGUGCCGCGUGGAGGGUGCAUACCGUAAGAGGGAAAUGAGCAGGGCGUGUGCGGGCAUGUGGUGUGUCCACAGGUGGCCAUGCCGCCGGGGCUCAAGGUGGUGAGUGUGGGGAACGGCACGGCGGUGCUGCGGGCGGAGGGGCUGUACGAGGCCAAGCUCACGCUGGUGCCCUCGGAGCCGCUGCCGGGACUGGACGACGCGGCGGCGGCAGCAGCGGGAGCGGGAGCAGCAGGAGCUGAGGGCGGCGGCGAGGAACAGGCGGACGCAGCAGCAGGGGAAGCGGGACCGGGCGCCGGCGGCCUGCCGGGCUGGGCGGCGGAGGCCGUUGCCGCUGCGUCGGGCGACGCGGCGGCGGCCGCGGCGGCGGCUCAGCGCUGGAAGUGGCGGCUGAUCCACUUCGUGCUGCUCAUAGGCGUGCCGUUCUACGACCCACGCCAGCCCGGCCAGAUCCUCAACACCUGCAACUUCCACAUGGUGCUUGCCGCCGACAACGCAGCCUACCUGCGCUGGCAGCGCAAGGGGCCGGGCGCGGGCGCGGGGGCGGCCGCCGCUCGCAGCGCGGUCAGCGAGAGCGUGGCCACGCCCGCGCCCAGCGGGCUGCCCGGGGCGGCGGCGGCCGCCGCCGCAGGGGCCGGAGGCGGCGGUGGCGUGUCGCUGGCUGCUGCUGUGAAGAAGGCGGAGGACGACGAGGUGGGGGCGCCGCUGGCGGUGAUGCACGCCAUCCUGACGGACGUGGCGGGGCGGCUGCUGGCGGACGAGCUGGCGGCGGCGGCGCGCGCGCUGGCGGCGCCGGGCAGCCGCUGGCACGGCCACAUCGCGGUCAAGCCCAGCCAGCUGCUGCACCCGGGCGUUCGCAUCGAGUACUGGGUGCAGGUGGGCACCGGGGGCAGGGCGGGGCAGGGCGCUCGGGGGGGCGGCAUGGAUGGGUGGAUGCCGGAACGGAACCUGGUUUGCAACAAGGAGGGAGGGAAAGCAAGCUGGUGUUGCACAAUGUGGCCUUGACGACCGACGCUCCGCACACGCGCAUCUGACGUCGUGCUCUUGCACACGGACGCACGUGCAUUCUGCGCGCACGUUGUCAGCCCUCUCCUUUGCGCUUUCCUAACACACGAACACGCGCACAUGCACACACACACGUGCACACGCGCACCCAGGCGCCGCCGCUGAUGGGCAAGAGCGCGCUGCCGCGCGUGGGCCCGGGCGAGGACCUGCGCGGCGUGCGGCCCGGCCCGCCCUACCUGGAGCUGGGCAUGGGCGACAGCGGCUGCGUGGAGGUGCAGCACGGCCCCUCGGUGUUGCACAAGCCCGUGUCCAUGUCCAAGUUGCGGCUGGACACCUUCCGCGUCAACGUGGAGGAGGUGCUCAUGCGCUCAGCCAACAUGAGCGCGCAGCUGCAGCUGCUGCAGGUGCGGGGGCGGAGGGAAGAGGGCAGGGGAAGGAGUCCCGCCGAGGCGGGGCGGGCGCGGGGCUGAUGGAGAGGGCAUGUGGGCGGCUGUGGGCGGCUCUGGGCUGCGGUUUGUCACUCCCGCCGCUUGGAGUUCCGUCUGCAAGCCUUCCACCUAUGCUUGCUCCCAGUUCCAAGUUCCGUUUGCCACAUACCUCCUGCCUAGUGCCUACCCGUGUGGAAGAGCACAAGGGACGGAGAACACAGCCCUGCGUGUUUCUCCCCAUCUGGUCUCUGACGCAAGGACCGUGUACGCGAUGCGGUGCGGCGCUCGCGGCACUUACCUGAGGAUACCUUCCUGAAGUGCCUGUGCGUGUGUUGUAUGUCGCCCACCAGAUUCGGCGGGAGCUCAAGGAGAACCUGUUCGCCGCCAUGGGCCUGCGCGCGCCCACCAUGCGUCUCACCAGCCUGGCCCGUCAGCUGUGGUGCCGGGACGGAGUGCCGCUGGUGCAGCCAGGAACGGAGGAAGACGGCGCCGCUGCAGCUGCAGCGGUUACAGGAGGCGCAGCCGCUGCCGCCGCCGUAGGCGCCAACGCGUCAGCGAUGGACAUUGACGGCGGAGCUGGCGUGGGGGCGGGACCGUCAGGCACGCCAGGGCCUGCGGCGGCGCCAGCCGCCGCCGCCGCCGCCGCCAUUGGCGCCAUCCCGCCGCCCAGCAGCCCGCCGCCGGAGGUGACGGGGCUGCUGGCGGCGGCGGCGCCACCGGAGGAGACGGCGGGGGCGCUGGUGCUGCUGAACGCCCCGGUGCUGGAGUACCUGGUGACGGGGACCACGGAGCUGAAGAUCGGGAAGCACCUGUUCAGCGGGCGGCUCACGCUGCGGCCGGGGCAGGACGAGCGCGACGAGGGCUCGCUGCACCACGCGGCCGAGGUCGCAGCGGUGCGUUUGGGGGCGGGAGGAGGGGUUACCCGUUCAUGUGGAGUACAGAGUGAUUGGAUCACAGGUUUAAGCCGACAGCGGGUGCGCGGAGGUAUUCGGGGUUCCAGUAACACGUCGGGCAAGGGGUCAGGCAGGUACUCCGGUUGCUUGGGGUGGAGUACUUCGUGCCACAAGGCUCAAACCGCAUACCUGACAACAGCAAGUGCGCUUCCUCGCACUCCUGCAGAGCGAGGACUCCGUGAACGCGGCGGCGCUGAGCGCGUACAACUCGGCGCCGGAUGACUCCUACCCCGCCAGCCGCGCGCUCAAGGAGGCCUGCGCCGCGCUGUGCCGCGUGCUGCAGCGCACCCACAACUCCACUGACGCCACGCACUUCAUCCAGGCGGCGCGGCGCGCCUCGCUGCACAUCAGCCGUCUGCCGGGCGGCAUGCUGGAGGCCUUCACCGCCGCCAACCCCGGACUGUGAGUGCGGCGAGGGGGCCUGAGGGCGGCAGGGCUGCAGAAUGGGGAGUGGGGGUUUGCGAGCUGCGGAAGGGCUGAGUGUGCUGUAUGCGGUGCGGCGUGUGCGAGCUUGCGCCGGAAAGCGUUGGAAACAGGGAGGCGCGAGGCCCGGGUUGCGCACAUGCGCAGCGCGCACUGGUGUGUUGUCCAGUAUGGGUGUGUGGCUUGUUGGAUGUGGCGGUGGGCAACAGAACAUAGCGUGCCGCGCACGUUGUUUGCGGUGCCUCACCCGCUCCUGCGCACCCUCCCGCAUAUCGUAUUCACCCGCAGCGCGAUCGAGGCUCGGCCCAACGAGAAGGCCGCCACGUGGGCGUUACAGUCGGUGCCCUUCCCGCCCAACUUCCCGCCACUGGAGUUGAGCGGCGCCGCCGACACGCCGCCGCUGCGCACGCCGCAGUGCCUGGCGUUCUUCCUGCAGAGCCGCCUCAGCCUGCACUCGCCGCACGUGCUGGUGGCGGUGUCCUGCAACCGCCAGCUCAUGCCCAUCAAGGUGCGCGCUGUGGCAUGUGGGCGCGUGGGUUGACGGGGGAUGUUUUAUCGUUCCCGGUGAGCGAUUAAUAGACACGAGGAUGCAGGGCAGGACAAGCAAAUGAGAGUUGCGUACGGUACACGCACGGUAGCCCUGAGCUACCCAUCAGUGCCUCCGGCAUCAUCAUCACCCUCUACGCCCUCAACCCCGCUAUGCCCUCCUCCCGCUAACGCGCUGCUGCCCUGCCGCCUGCUCCGCAGGUGCUGUCCUGCAUCCCGGUGCCGCCCAGCACCUACCGCCUGCCCGACCAUGUCGUCGCCGCCUACAUGGCCGUCAGCGUGGGAGCCGGAGGAGGCGGAGGCGGAGGCGCGCAUUCACACAGCGGCGGCGCCGCGGCCGGGCACCACCACCCACACCACCACGGCGGGCAGGGCGGGCAGGCGGCGCUGGCGCAUUCGCCGCCGCACAGCGGCGGCAGCAGCCCUCGCGUGCUGGCCAACGGCGGCGAGGCCUCCCACGGCCACAGCCUGCAGCACCCCCAGCACAGCCACAGCCAGCACCACCAUCACCACCACCACCACUUGGGAGGCCCCUCGCCCGACACCUCGCCCGUGCGCGAGUCGGCGCCGUCCGCGCUGGGCCCCGCCAGCAGCUCCCAUGGGCCCCUCUUCCGGCCCUCAGGGGGCGGCACCGCCUCCAUCACCGCUGCCGGCACACAGCUGUCUGACGCACCAGCGGGCGCUGCCAGCGGCCAGCCAUCACUGCCGGGUACGGCUUCACCGGCGUCAGCAGCGGCGGCCGGCGGCGCAGGCUCGGGGCCGCUGGCGCGGCGUGGCGGAGGCGGAGGCGGCGGGGGCGGAGGUGCCGUGUCUGGCAGCGGCGCGGGCGGGCGGCCCACGGGGCAGCAGGUGGCGGUGAUGCUCGCGCAGCAGCAGCUGAGCAGCGUGGUGCGGUGGUGCCGGCGGCGGAUGGUGUGGGAGGUGUUGCUGGUGCAGCUGGCGGCGGUGGGCGCGGCCUUUGAGGAGCUGUGCAGCCCGGACGCGCCGUGCCAGCGCGUGCGUGUGACACGGGUGGCGGGCACUGCGCUGCCGUGCCCCAUUGCGCGGCGGCCGGGGCUGGCGCCGGCGCGCGUGGGGCCGGCGUGCCUGGAGCUGGAGCUGGGGCCGGACGCUCUGGCGGGCCAGGUCACGGCCCGGCUGUGGGGCCGCUUCCUGUGCUCGCCGGUGUGCGAGCCCGUGGUCGCGAACCGAGCGGUCGGCGGGGCGGGCGCUGGCGGGUCCAUAGGCGCUGCUGCGGCGGUGGCUGCGACGCACGGGUUCGUGCUGAGCGACGAGGAUGCGCCGGGCACGGUGCCGUACGCGGGCCGCGGCGACGGCGGCGCCGCCGGAGGCGGCGGCGGCGGCCGCGGCGCGCCGCUGCUGUGCCUGCGGCGGCAGUAUUGCCUGGAGCGCGGCGACAGCGCAUUGACCAUUGUGCAGGAGGUGGCGGCUGUGAUCCGCAUGCAGACGCUGCUGGCGCGGCUGGAGAUGACGGCGCGGCCGGCGGCGGCGGCGACGGCGGGCACCGGCGCGGGGCCGGUGCUGCCGCAGCGGCUGUCGGUGCUGACGCGUCCGACGGCGGCUGCAGCGGAGGCAGUGCCUCAGCCUGGGCCGCGGCCGCUGCAGCCUCACAACUCGCAGGAGGAGGGGGUGUCGCUGGCGCCGCCCGCCAAGCGACUGAAGUCAGAACCACGGGUCCUGGGAGACGGCUGUGAUGUGCCCAUGUCGAACGGCACACAGCCAAACGGCGGCGCACUCACCGCUGUCGUUGACGCGCAGGCGCCAGCACAGGCACCGGCGGCUGGGGCAGCAGCAACAACGUCUGCUGCAACAACGGGGACAGCAACGCGCGGCGGGUGCGGGCUGAGGUGGCACUGGCCGCUGGUGGGCACGUUGACUCUGGAGCACUACAGCUGCAGCGCCGCCGCCAUUAGGUACACGCCGGCCGCAGGCGCCGCUGGAGCGCCCGGGGGCGGCGGCGCCGGCGAGGCGCCGGCGGCUGACGCCGCCACGAGUGCCAUCAUGCCGCCGGCACCGCUGGUGCUGCACAUUACCUGGGCGCCGCGGGACGUGCGGGGCAUUCACGGAGGCGGUGGCGGCGCAGCCGCAGCCGCUGCAGCGCCUCCCCAGACGCCCGGCGCCCAGGGCGGCGGCGCAGCCGCCGCGCUCUUCGGCCCACUCGCCUCCGCCUCCGUGCCGGCCGGCGUGCCAGCGCCGCUGGCCAACACCCCCUCCUCCUCCACAGCACCGCACGCGCACCAGUACCACCACGCGGCGCACGCGCACCACGCCGCCGCGCACCUGCACGGCCGCGGCUCGCCGCUGCUCCCGCCCGAGGCGGUGGCGACCAGCAGCCGGCCCGUGCAGGCGCGGGCGGGCGAGCCCUUCGGCACCGCCUUCUGCGACCUAGUGCUGUGCACCGUCACCUGCAGCAGCGGCCACUCGCUGCCGUCCGAGUACCUGCACGUGCUGGAGGUGGGGGGGGGAAGGGGCGACAAGCCGGGGCUCUUGUGGAGUGGUGGGAGGGGAGGGCAGGGGCAGGUGUGGUGGUGGGACACGGGUCUGCCGGGAUAGUCGCUUCAGGCAUUGUGCAUGCAUGCCGCCCAGCUCUCGUGUGCUCAUCCACCCACGCCCAUCCUCUGCUGCCUGCCACCUCCUCAGCUCCCUGCCUCCCCCCCUCCGCCGACGCGCACUGACCCACACAGGAGUUUGCCGAGGCGGGCGAGGAGGGCAAGCUGCUGGACGCGGUGGCGGUGGCGGCUUGGCCGCUGGCGGGCUUCUUCACCGCGCUGCGGCCGGCGGUGCUGGCCCGCCACGGCCUGGUGCUGGACAGCGACGUGCGGCCGGCUCUGUCGCAGCCGCCCUACUGCCACCGCAUCGUGUGCCGCCGCCGCGCCCCCAACACCGGCCACGUGCUGAUGGACCUGCUGUGCCAGGCCGUGGGGCGCAGCUACAUCAAGGUCAGCAUCACGGCGGUGGGAGGGGCAGCGGCGGCGGCGGCCGCCGCAGCCGCGGCGGCAGCGGCGGCUGGCACCGGCGAGGCCGGCCUGGAGCGCAGCAGCACCUCGGGCAGCGCGACGCCGAACAAGCAGCCGGAGCCGGGGGCGGCGGCAACAGCCGGGGAGGCGGGCGGCGCGUCGCAGCACGUGCUGCAGGCGCUCAAGGCGCAGGCGGUGACGCGGCUGGGGCCGCGCGGCGUGUCUGUGAGCGUGGGCGGGCGGGGCGCCGUGUACACGGGGUUUGGGCACAAGCCAUCGGGCGUGCCGGGGCCGGGCGCGCCGCUGUGGCUGCUAGUACCGAACGAUUGUGUGCAGGCCGCUGUGGAGCUGGUGUAUAGCGUGCUCAACUGAGGCGAGAACAAUUCGGGUUACGGUGAAUGAAAAGAUUGUGAGGGCGGGGCUGCGGCGGGCUGAGCUGGACGGAGCUGGUGCUGGGGCUUAAGAUCAACAGAGGUUGCACCUGGGCUUGCGCUCGAGCUAGGCCGUACUUAGCCCGGUCAGUUUGCGCGUGCGGCGGCGUUUUGCUGGGUUUGCAAGACUGUGCGAGGGGCCCGGGUGCAGAUGCGGGCGUGGAGACUUGAGAUGUUAUGGUACCACCUGCGUCUGUUCUUUUGCGUGGGAGCUCGGCGUUGGGCGGCGGCGCGGCGGCACGCACAGCUACCCGCCCCAUAGUUGGGCAGGCAGGUGCGGUCGCGGGGUGUGGUUGUGCAAACGGAUUAGUUGGGACAAGGCCAGAUGUCCGCUCGCGUGAGUACUAGGGGCAUGCAACACCGGCACAUGGCAGACGGGUACUGACAGUUAGGUAUGGCCUCUACGAUUGCGGCAUUGUUUGCGUGGCGGUCAGGAUUAUGGUAGGUACCUCAGUUGGCGGGCGGCGUCGUGGCCCUAUGGGUGCGACAUGGGGUGCGAUGGGACAGUGUGCAGCGCAUUCCCAGACCGCGCGCUCGAUUUGUGACGUUAAGGCAAGAGCGCCCGGCUGCUAUAACGCCGGAGUUACUGUACCGAGGCUUCGCUGACUUGCAGGAAGGCUGGUAGUUUGCUGAUGCGCAGCCCCGUGGGGUGGCGCGAGGUGGAGCAGUUGUAGGCCUCGAGCUAGUGCGGGUGUCCGAUGGCUGGUGGCGAUGCUUACAGAACCGGGGCCAGACCUCGUCCGUAAUGGGAUGCUUGACCCCAGCAUCGGAGGCAGCAGUACGGUACGGCAUGUGGCAUGGUCAGUGAUGGCACCGCGGGGAAGGCGCAGCAGCGCAUUGUAACCCUGGGCACAGCUGUAACCCUGUGCAGGCCCGCCAGGAUGGCCGCCAGGAUGGCGCAGUGCCAGCAUUGCGUGGGGUCCUACUGAGGACUACUGUUGGUGAAUGCGCGUCAGCAAACUUCCAGCCAGCCAGCAACUUGUCGGUACAGUAACUGCGGCGUUCGACCAGCCGCAUUGCAUUGCCGUUGCAAAUUGUUUGUCAUCUGCUGGGUCUGGGAAUCAACUGCACCCUACGGGAACUCGCCAACCUGCCUUAACCUUGUCCCAUCGCACAUCCUAAUCGUGGGGCCCUACUGAGGACUACUGUUGGUGAAGAGGGGUGAAGUGACCAUUAGCAAUGAGCACGGCUGAUAAAUGCCUCAAUUAUGUAUCGUUUAAUGGGCACUCCUUGUGUCCGAACCCAACGGCACGGGGUGCAAGUAUGCGCAAGGGUGUUCCCAACUCCUUGGUGUGGUCGAGGAUCUGGCGGACUCGAGCGGCGGUGUCCGUGUAGCUGCUUCGCGUGUGCCGACGCAUAGCGCUGUCCGGACGCUUAUUGCAUUGCGUGUCCGCCCGAGCGCGCUGUGGGCACUUUAGUCCGCACGCGAGGCUACGCACGCAUUGAGGCACCGCGGUCACGAUUAGGGUGUGUGCCGGCGGUUGAACCUGAGAGUGCAUUCAGAACGACUACAUGAGGCAAUAACACGUAAGCCUCGGACAACUGGCUAGACGGCGGAAAGGAAGGGAGAGACAUAAGGAAAGGCCGUGACACGAUGAUGUGACGGAAGGGGGCAGGAACAUGGACUGCCACCAAGUGCUCGGCGAGAUGUGGGCACGACACAAUAUGGUCGUACGGAGACCACUGAGAUGCUAUUGGCCGGUCUGAGCAGUGUUUGUAGACGCGGCGAGGACGAGACGUAGGCAUCGGUAGAACUAGGCCCUGGACCCUGACAGUACACGGCCAGAAGGGCACAGGGCUACGCGAGUGUGAUUUGCACAUAUAUCUGUACAUAAGGAUGUGGCAUAACGAGGAAUGGGCUGCAGUCUGUCGACGACAGUCCGGGCAUGGAUUUGCGGAAGCUCGCUGCAUAGGGGACUUGAUUGCUCGAGUCCUACGGCGACGUGUGAAUACGGUAAUUGGUUAGGUUGAAGCGGUAGGAGCGUUUCCCCAAUGGGCGCUCGUUGACGCGGAGCCAUUCUACGCGGUUCGGCCCUCCGGCUACCCUGGCCGCGGCGACGGUCUUUAGGCCACCGCCCAUGCCCGUAGUCCGGGAGCCUAGCGCGCUUGCUUUUGUGUGAUAUUGCUAGGCGGCGAUAGCGUUUGCAGGCCUAGACUUUGAGGGACGACUAGAGAACAGGGCGGGUUGAGGGAUGGAGACUGGGCAUUGAUGCUCACACUCUUCCCUAGCUUGCCCCGUGCCCUUGGUGGCCCUGGGGCGUUGUUUGAGCUACGGUGCGCAUUUCCAAAUAGCGACGCAAGCAGGGGGUAGUCCAGGCGCUGCAUGGGGACGCUGCAUGAGGGCAAAGCCCGAGUGGAAGCUGGCCCCUGCACCUUCCAGGCCUAGCUCCCCUGCGCCAAUCGCGAUGGUGGAAGGUGCCCGGGGCAAUAUAUGACCGCUCCGGAGCGCCAAGAAAGAAACCCGGCACUCCUGUGUAAUACGCCACGAGUAAUUGACAAGCACGAACCUUGCUCAUACCGGAAGAACAGUCUCCCAGCCCUCAAGGGCUCUUCUCCCCUGACAGCGGGCCUGUCAGCAAGUUUCCAGCGCCAAGGCGCGACAGUGAUUGCGGCCUAAGGCAAUCCGCCAGAGCCUCCUCUUCAGCGGGCCCCUGUGCCCCGGCUUCCGCAUCCGCACGCCUGGUCGCAUCGACCCCGUGCGCGACUCUUCGUGACCCGUCUGCCCCUGCGACGCGGUCCUGUGGUAUCAUACGCAUCUCAACUGCGUAAUUCGGCGGCUUCAAGCGCCUGAGCGACGUCAACGAGCCUCGCGAGCCCCUCGGCCAAGGUCAUCGCCACCUGCCGACAGCUCUGCCAAGGCUUUGACCUUCUUUCUGGAUUCAGCUAUCCUUCUGGUGUAUCUUCUAUUUAAGACUACUCUGAGAUUCUCCUGACGACCCCAACGUGAAGACCGGCUUGCGAGCAUCGAAUCGUCACCGACUCCACUGGGUCAAGACCCUGAGCUAUUCAAGACCUCCAACAAGACCUCCAGCUCACAUCUGAGCUCUGUUUGGGAACAACGGACUACCUAUUGAGAUUCCGGUUCCAUCUCGGUUGCUUCGCCAGCCCGACGCUUGGCCUACAGCAGCCAGCUUGUGUUUAUAUUACGGGAGAAGGCAGCUGAGUGAGACAGCGCCCAAAGAGUACCGUUGCUUGGACUUGUGCUCGGCUUGACACGCUCGUGUCAUUGCCCGCAGUCCGCCCCGGCACAUUCUCUCUCAGGCAUUGCGCGACCCCAGCCCUCCUGGCUCGGCGCCCAAGCCUACAACUAUAUCCUGACCGCCAACGACGACCCAGUGGAUUUAUCAAGGCCUGGUUUACUUUGGUGCAAUACCUGACAUCAACGUCGGACAUCACCAGCAACAUCUGUGUUCAAGCGCAUCCCCCUUGCGACGAACGUAACAGCCGCAGGCGUCGUCAUACGACUGCCGCUGGGAGGAGCUCCGGUGUAGUCGGGCCCCAAACUCAUCGCGCUGCAAAAGGUGUCCGCCCAGCAGGACGUGGCCGGCCCGCGCAGAGUAGCGACAUCCGCCCUGGCAGGUGUUCGCCUUUGCGGCCUUAUCCCGCCUUGCAUUACCGAAUGCGGGUACGUAUGGAUGCGUCACAGGGGGGGCUUGUAUACCGUAAAAUCUUACAUAACGCUCACGGCCGCCAGCGAGUAGGCCAAUGCGUGUCCGAGCCACCACCACCCGCGUGCACGGACUGAGCGCGUAUGGUGCGCGCAGAUGCACUGAUUCCGCAUUUGAAUUUGGUUUGUACGCAUAGCAUGUGGGCCUAGCCGUGUGGCCGUGAGACAAUCCUGUAUGUAUUUCUAAUGAGAGCAAUCAUGCAGUACGGUAGCAAGUAUAUAUCUGGCGCUUCGUGGUGGCCCCAAGCCCCGCACCGCCUCUGUCUGUAAGGUUCUCUCCCCGGCACCUGACAUGCGCAUUGACCUUGAGCUUUAUAUAAUAAUGCCCACCCUGCACACCGUGCACACGGACAGGAGCGUCUUGCUCAAAACACAACACAGCAUACCUCUGUCAAGGCUGGCGUGGCUCUCGCGCACCCUUCUACCCGGGCCGCAGCCCCACCCUCCACACUCCUCCACACAACGCGCUCCCCCGCACCGUGCCUCCCCCCUAACGCUCCAACUCAUCCAACAGCUCCGCCGGCCGGCCCGGCGCCGCCUCCGCCACCAGCAGCUGCAGCGGCGGCCGCGGCUGCAAGUGCUGCUGCCGCCGCCGGUUCCAGCCCCCAGCCAUGCCAGGAAGGUCAUCGAAAAAGCUGCUGGCCAGAAACUCGUCGUAUUCGUCGUCACCCGCGUCGCGCCGGCCCGCCCCCGAGAUCAGCUGCUCACUCAGGAUGUCAGGCUCCAGACACACAGCGCUGCGUGACGCCGCCUCGCGGCCUCCCUCCUCCGCAUCGCCGUCCUCCUGCACGUCAUCCUCAUGCGCCAGAGCCAGGACAUCCACCAGCGCAUGGAACAAGCGUCCCGUAGCCUCGUAGCGGGCCACAGCCGCCAACACCUCGGCCUCCGGCGCCCGCGCCGCCCGCAGCUGCCGCGCGUGCUUCUCCUGCGCUUUAAACAAGUCUUCCACGGCGUCAAGUAGCUGUUCUGUGGCGCUGGCUCCAUCCGCCCCGUCCUCAAGCCCCACAAGUGCAAGCCCGCUGCCCGGCCGCCGGCCGGUGUCGGACUGGGCCGCGCGGGCGGCACUGCACUCCUGCUGGUGGUCGCGCUGACUCAGCUCCGACAGCGUCCAGCCGAUGGUGGACAGCGGCACAGCUGCCGCGCGGCACACGGCACGGUUGAGCGAAAGUGGCAGCCGGAGCUGUGAGGGUGCCAGGGAAAGCGGGCAGCGCCGCGGUCAAGUCACAGCUGGAGGUCAUGAAGCCGCACCGCUGUAGCACGUUUUGCAGGGUUGCGGCCGUGCAAAUGCAUGCGCAAUGCACCGGCUGAGCAACGCCUGCACAGCCUUGGUGCAACACUCCCGCCCCUCUUUGCAUCCUGAAACAAUACUGGCAGCACUCGCCCAUCAAGCCCUGGACAGCCCCCUCCAGCAGAAGCGCACCUGGGCAUGCGGUCGAGGCAGGCGAGGGGCCAGCGCCCUUGCCUCCCGCUCCACCGCCGCCGUGAGGUCACGCAGCACCAGUCCAGCUAUGCCGUUCAGCCGGCGGCGUGCGCCUUCGUUCACCGGUUCCUCCAGAGCCGACUCGUCCAGCAGCGGCACCACCACCAGCUCACGCGGCGCCGCGGCGUCGGAGCGCAGGCGGUGCGAGUGCUGCGCGCGCAGGCCAGCAGGCGAUAGAGUAGGCACACCCGUGCAACAGCACCUUUGUCAGGGGAUGGCUCAGGCGGAGGACUGAAGGCACGCACGGCAUGCCCCGACUGCCCUUGGCCAUAGGUUGAACAAUGGUGCCCCACUAACUACCGGCGAACCCAGAAGCCAGGGGCUGUCCCGCAUGGCCUGGCGCCCUCUUCCGCCCACCAUCGUGUGCAAGGCCGUGGCUCACCUCCGCCAGCGCCAGAGCCGCACCACAGAGCCCCCGCUCCCCGUGCACCUGCAGCCGCACGGCCUUCUCCGGGGAUAGCUGCAGCAGAAAGUCGGCCUCGCGAACUACUGCGCUUGCGCCCUCGUCAUCUCCGGCAUCGGGCUUGAAGGUCAACUUGCCCGCGCUCCGAGCCCGCUCAGCCACGCGCCGUUGCAGCUCACAGCCGCGGGCACCGCCACCAUGUGCAAUCUGUCGUUGCUGGUGCUGUACUUCCGAGGCAGUUUUAAGCCCCGCAGCGCCCGGUGCCGCUGCUGACGGCGCCAUGUCUGGCUGGCGCGCACACCGCAAUCCUCCCUGUCCUCCCUGCAGCGGCUGGCCCUGCCGCCCCUGCCCCUGCCCCUGCCCCUGCGGCUGCUGCGUGAUCCAGGUCGCAACCAAGGUCUCCGCAUCCACAUCAGCAGCCACGCCUGUUACCUGUAACAAUGCGUUCGCAAUGCACAGGAGUGUUAACAUGUGUUGGACAAGCAUGAGCCCACGCGCGCAGCGAAAGCAUGCAUGAGUGGCUUUGACAAUGUUCCAAUGCAUGUGCCAACUCCUCACCUGCUGCAACAGCUCCAAGGUCUGCAGCGUCCGCGCAUGCGCCUCCUGUUUCGCGUCGUCUCCAAUGCCCGACAGCGUCAUCACCAGGGGCCAGCCGCACACGCGCUGGUACUGGGGCAGCAGCUGCUGGAACCUGUCUACCAUGGCCAAAGCACGCGCUGGCGCACUUGCGGGCAGUGGCCCUUCUACAGCCAUCUCCUCUGCUGCCGCCGCCGCCGCCAUCCCCCGCGCCACCCUGUCCAGUACGUAGUUGACUGCGGCGGUGCGGGCGAGGCUGUAGCAGAUGGCGGGCGAGCCCUGCAGCACCAGCGAGCUGUGGAGGCCGGGGCCGGGGCCGGGGCCGGGGCUGGGGCUGGGGCUGGGGCUGGGGCUGGGGCUGGGGCUGGGGCUGGGGCUGGGGCUGGGGCUGGGGCUGGGGCUGGGGCUGGGGCUGGGGCUGGGGUUCAAAGGUGCCGGUGGUGGCGCGGCGUCACUCCCCGCCGCAGCAAGUGCCGCAGCCGUGGCCUCCCAGCACGGCGCCAGCGCGCCCACCAUCGCCCGCGCCAGCGCUGCCUGGUUAUCAGCCUCCCGCGCCGCCCAGCGGAUUGCAGACAUGAUCUGCGGACACUCGGUAUUCUCUUCAUUGACAUCGAUAUGAAUUCCGUGGCUGUUGAUUUCCACCUUCUGCCGCGCCAGGUGGGGCAGCAUCAGCACCAGCGGGGCAGGCGGGGCUGACGGAGGCGGUUGCAACGGCUGGGCCUGCAGCGCAAGGGCGACAGAAGCCGCUGCUGCUGCUGCUGUUGUGGCAGUAGUGGCAGCGGUUGCAGUCAGGGUGCUGUGCCUCCCCGCGCCAGUCGUAGCCGCAGCCGCAGCCGCUGCCGCUGCAGCCGCCCCUGCUGCUGGUGCUGCUCCCCGAGCCUGCGUCACCGUUGGCGGCGGCGUGUCGAAAAUGGCGUGUGUCAGCCGCUGUCCUGCCUGGCCUGCUAUGCUGUACAAGAGGUACAUGCGCCGUUCUCUGGACAGCCCCAGUUUCUGAAUCUCCGCACUGCCCUUAUCGCCGCCGCCGCGGGCUGCAGCCGCCAUCGCCGCCUUCAGUUUCCCCCUUCGCUGCUUCAAGUUUUGAGCUGCGACGUUCUGCAUCUCAAGGUAGGAGCGCCGCAGAUCUGCAAAAUGCUGCUCCUGCUGCUGCCAUUCGUCUCCCGCUCCCGCUCCCGCUGCCGCGGAGGCGGCUGCCUCAGGCGCCGGCCUCGCCGUGGCCGCUCUCUGUGACUUGCGCGCAUCGCCAAGAGCGUGAUGCAGUGCCAGUGUGUAGUAGCUGUGGAUUGUGAUACGCAGCAUGUGAUGGGCAUCGCCCGCCGGCACGCGGUGCAGCAGCUCCGAGCUGAGGCAAUGCGCCACUCGCAGCAGCACCGCUGGCCGCGUCACCGCCGCCAGCGCGCCGCUCGCGCCGGUCUCGGGGCUCCACGCCUCCGGCCGCAAAAGCACCAGCGCCUGUGCACGUGGCGCGGUGAGCAGGUGGGACGGCGCUAUGAGGAAGAGGGCGCAGGCAUGUGCGUGUGUGUGCGCGUGUGCGUGUGUAUGUGUGUGUGUAGCCUGGCGAGAUGGCAUGCACAGACAGGCGGCGCCCUUUGGAGCAUACACACCUGCGCUGCCGACACCACGUACGCCAGGACUGUCAUGUCGGAGCACAGCAGCGGCGGCGGCGGCGGCGUCAGCUGCGCCGCGUCCCUCGUGGCGCCAGUGCCGCAGCCAGCACCUGCCGCAAGCGACGGCGGCGGCUGCCAGUACCGUAGCAGCGCCUCCGCCAGGGCCGUGGCACAUGCCACGUGGGUGCCGCGAGUGUGGCCGCUAGGUGAGACCAGGUCGUCAUCCUUCCGCUCCUCGAAGUCUUCAUCUCCGCCCACGGCACGCGCCAGCACCAAAUGGCAUCGCAGCAGCAGCGCCGCACGCGCCGGCACGUGUCCGAACAGCUCCAGUUGCAGCAGCCAGCCGGGUAUCGACAUGCCCUCGGUCAGCUCUGUCUCCUGCAUGCGUUCGGGCACAUGGUCCACGACGUCAACGCGAUGCUGCUGUGUGCGGAGCGAGAUCGCUGCUGAUACAUACUGAAACCUCGUGCGUGCCAGCCUCAAUCCACUCCUUGGUGGCUCCCGCACGAUCACCCCGCAUGCUUGCCAGCAGCCCUCCGAACCCCACGCGCACGCUCACCCGCAGGCGGCCAAACAAGGUGGCCUGCUGGCGAGCCUCUGCCUCCGCCGCAGUCUUUGGCGGCAUGAGCGACAGUGAGUCCGCGACGCCACGUGCGUCAAUGCGCUCCACAGCCUCUGCUAGCCGGCGAUACGCAUCGCCCAGGAUUUCCUGCACCUCCUUGCCCGACUGCUUGGCCUGCGUCCGCGUAGACUGGACCCAGAAAUCAUGAUUGCUGACUGCACGCUGGAUAUCGCUAUAUAGCUGAUCCUCCGCGUCACAUAUCGCCCGUAUCUGCCGCUCCCGCGCCUGCGCGGCCUCAUCCGGCGCCAGGCCCGCAUGCACGGCCAUCACGGCGCGCGCGGUGGCGGCGGCACGCAGGUGCGGGCGGUAGCCCGACACGCACGCGCGCUCGUGGCGGCCCAGGGCGCAGCGGGCGCGCUGUUGGGCCUGCAGGUGCAGGCCGCGGCCGGACAGGGCCGACGGCGGCAGGUCGGGGCAGGCCAGAGCCACCAGCGCCGAGCGGUGCUGCUGAGCCAGCGCGCCCGCCAAGCGUCCACGGCCCAGAUCGGCGGGAGGUGCAUCUUCUGGUGGCCCAGCGAGCAGCGACUGGCCGCCGCUAAGCGUGAAGAACUCGCGAGUCAUCUGUUAAGGAAUCCGCGCCGAGCGCACGAACGCUUGAGUGCAACAACCUUAAAAGCAUCACCGCUUGAAAUUCAUGGUCUCAUAGUAUCAAAACGUCAACGGUCCCAGCAGAUUUAAGCGGACGUUUUGAAGGCAAGCUGCGUGUUGUGCAUGUGCUUGUAGAUGCUUGAUAUCAUGGUAUUCAAGCGAUUCAAGACAAAAUUGUUUCAAAAUUUACAACGGAAUGGUCAGACUGAAAACGCAUUGCCGAUGGGUCCGCCAGACCAAGCACAAGGUCGUCUCAGGCGUAGUCUUCCCCCAUCCCCACCUUCCGGCAGGCACUCCUUUCCUGGAUUCCGGGCUAAUCCGCACUGAUGCUCAGUGGAUCUGCACGUUACAAGCAAGCAGCCAACCCACAUGGGCCAAAGACCCUGCAACACACGCCUCGUGGUUGACGUCCUGGGUGGCCGAAUAGCCUUAGGUCCCGCUAUCAGGCUGUCACACACCGCCGUGUACAUGUCGGCAAACGCUCGCAUACCAUAAAUGCUUUGGAGCCUGAGGCUCAUCACAUAUCACAAACAGCACAGCCGCUUUCCUGCGCCCCUAUGCCCCCACCAGCUCCAUUUGUCGACCUAGCCGCGCCUCCGCCACCAGCAGUUGCACCACCUGCUUCUCUUCCUGCUCCUGUUUCUGCUCCUGCUGCCGCUGCGCAUCGGGGCCUGUGCUCUCCCCCUGCUCCCCCUGCUCCUCCUGCUCCCCCUGCUCCUCCUCCUCCUCCUUUUCGCGUGGAGGUCUGCUGGACAAGUCGGCUGGCACCAGCUGGUCCAGGGGGUCCAACUUGACGACGAGCAUGCCGCUGAACAAGGCCGGGCCACCACCCGGGUCGCCGUGGUCGGCGCUCGCCUCCAAACCGGGCUCGCCCGCUUGCAGCAAACUGUACAAGGCCUCACAAAGCUGGCCCGCCGGGCCUGGAUCACGAGCCCAAUCGAACGCGCCUGUGGUUUCCUGAGACUCGGCCGUGUCUGCCGUACAGGCUACGCCCGCAAGCACCGCCGCCGAGCCCUUGAAAGCCGUAGCCGCCGCCGCAGCAGCAGCCUUUUCCUCGGCCUCGAUUGCUGCCUCCGCCGCCCUCAUCUCCGCCACCUGUGCCCGCGCAGCCGCCUCAUCUUCGGCCCACUUGACGCCCUCCAGCUCCAGCGCUAUCCGCUGACACGCCCACACCGCAGAAAGUGGCGGCAGCCGACCAAAGUCUGAGGGCGCCCAGCCCACCACCGAGCGCGGCAGUCCCGCGAGCCGGCAGACCACUCGGUUCAGCGCCAGCGGCAGGCGGACCUGCGGAGCGUGGCAAAUCGUCAAUAGCUGGGUCUGGCCAGGGCGGCUGCAGCAUUCGCCAAACACACCGCUUGUGAACUCCACGUGGCAACCUUGGCCCGUAUGCACACCGACGAGGCUGUAUGCAGGCUGCAACCUGAGCACCUAGUCCCCCCCAAAGCCCCCAAGCCAGGCGCGUCAGAGUAGCGUAAACUUAUGGCGUCAAGCCCCCUUCCAACUGCUCUGCCCACCGACCUGCCAGCCAGGCUGCAGCUGGCGACUAACAGUGACCGACGCGGCGCCGUGCCCGCCCUCCACGUCCGUUGUCUCCUGGCAUGCCUGCACCUGCACCGCCUGCUCCUGCGCCUGCACCGCCUGCUCCUGCGCCUGCCCAGGUGCCGGCUCCGCCUGGUGCAGCCGCUGCGGCGACACCGGCGCCGUCAGGUCCCGCAGCACCAUCGCCGCCAAGGCGUCCAGAAGACUCUGCAUCGCGUCGCGCUUGCCGUUGGUACUUGCGAAGGCCGCUGUGUUCAGCAGCGGCGCCACCACCAGCCCGCGAGGCGGCGACGACGACGGCUCACCGGCGGCGCGCAGGCGGCGCGCGCGCUGCAAAUGGCGGGUGCGUACGUGAGGUUGGAGGGUUCCGUUGGCAGGUGGUUGGGCACAGGACAGGGGCAUGGUGCACGCGCUGUGUGGGUCUGCUGUGCAGCGCUGGCAGUCAAUGCAUGGACCCCAGUACGUAGCUAGCUCAUGCCUGACCGUGCACCCGUACACAGCCUCACCCCCGCCAGGGCCAGCGCCAGGGCGGUGGUGGCGUUCUCGCCGGCCGGCCGCAGCAGUGCGGCCCGCAGCGGGUGCCGCUGCAGUGCGGACUCCACCUCUUGGACGGCCGCCUCCAGGGCUUCCCCAGAGUGGCCGCUGCAGGAGCGCAGGAUCAGGGAACGGGAGGUGCACAGCCGUGAGGGACAGUCCUGAUCCCAGACCUCAUACACGCGGGUCCUGAGCUGCAGCACUCCCACCUUAAAGCUACCGCCGCUUACCGUUUUCUGCUGAUUCUAAGUUUAGGGGCGUCCGCCAAACGCUGCGCCACCGCUGCUGGCAGCCCCAGCAGUCCUCCUGCCCCGGCAAGGGCCGCCGGGUCGCCAGCAACACCCGGUCCUGGCGCCCAGUUGCUCAACGCCUGCGCCCCCGCCUGCGCCCCCGCCUGCCGCGGGCGCAGUGCCUCCCCCUGCUCCGGCUGCUGCUGUGCGGUCCAUGUGGCGACCAGGCAGGUCUGCCGCCGCAACAGCGCCCCCGCAUCCAGGUCCAGUGCCAUCUCUGCCAGCUGCACAGCAAGGGAGAAAGCAGUUGCGGCGGUUGCGCGCUGCGCAGGCAGCCUGAGGAAAGCCAACAGGCAUGUCGGGGCACUCGUUGCGCCCGUUGCAUUAUUGCGCCCGUCCCGAUAAGUUGGGACGGGAGUAAACUACCCCACCCGCCCGUACCUGCUGCAGCAGCUCCGCCGACACCUUGUACUUGUGCUGCGCCCGCUCCUCUCCAAUGCCCGACAGCGUCAUCACCAGCGGCCAGCCACACACGCGCUGGUACUGGGGCAGCAGCUGCUGGAACCUGUCUACCAUGGCCAAAGCACGCGCUGGCGCACUUGCGGGCAGUGGCCCUUCUACAGCCGCCUCAUCUGCCGCCGCCGCCGCCGCCAUCCCCCGCGCCACCCUGUCCAGUACGUAGUUGACUGCGGCGGUGCGGGCGAGGCUGUAGCAGAUGGCGGGCGAGCCCUGCAGCACCAGCGAGCUGUGGGGCCCGGGGCCGGGGCUGGGGCUGGGGCUGGGGCUGGGGCUGGGGCUGGGGCUGGGGCUGGGGCUGGGGCUGGGGCUGGGGCUGGGGCUGGGGCCGGGGUUCAGAGGUGCCGGUGGUGGCGCGGCGUCACUCCCCGCCGCGGCAAGUGCCGCAGCCGUGGCCUCCCAGCACGGCGCCAGCGCGCCCACCAUCGCCCGCGCCAGCGCCAUGUGCGUUUCCGACAUGCACGCGUCCCACGCAAACCUGGCACGAUACUGUGCGUCUGCCUUCCAAGGAUCCGUGUCAUACCCCUCACCUGCCGCAAUCUGCAAGUGCACCGAAGCUACGUGCGACAGCAUCACGAGUGCUUGCGGCUCCGGCGAGGGAUCCCACAGCUGUGCCGAUGCCGUGUCCACGCCAGGCGGACGCGACCGUGGCGCCGCUACUGCCUGCGCUGGUGCUGGCGCGGCUGACGCUGCUGACGCUGUUGACGUCGACGGCCACGGCGCAUCAAAGAUGGCCUCUGUGAGAUGCAUCCCCGCCCGCGCCGCAAUCUCCAGCCGCUGCAACCUCCGCCCCUCCAUGCACACGUCCUUGACUCGGCCCAGCAGCGCUCUGAAUUGCGCCUUGUCCUUCGCGCUGCCGCUCGCCACCAAUGCGGCGGUAGCCGCACUGCCCCUGGCUUUGAAAGAGCCCUGCAGUCGACUCGUCUCCAUCGCGACCGCUGCCGUAUUCUUUCUCAGGGUCGCCUGAAUCCCGUCCUGCUUGCUGCAGUACAGCGACCGCAGCGGCCCGGCCAGUGCCGCCCUCCCGGCUUCUGUGCCCCCGCUGGAGGCAGCGCCGCCGCCGCCGCCGCCGGCCGCCGCGUUGCCGCCGCCGCCGCCGCUUGCCCCUGCGGCGGCCUCACGCCCCGGCCGCGCCUCCGACAGGGCGUAUGUGAGGUGGUUCAGGUAGUGGUGCCGCAGCACCUGCUGCAGCAUGUCUGGAGCCUCGCCCGCCGGCACGCGGUGCAGCAGCUCCGAGCUGAGGCAAUGUGCCACGCACAGCAGCACCGCCGGCCGCGUCACCGCCGCCAGCGCGGCCUCCGGGACUGUGUUGGCACCAGCGACGCUGGCCGCGAUCCGCAAGUGCAGAAUCUGCAUGCGGCCGCAUCGGGUACUGCACGCUUCAGGCUACUAGAUUAGGACAACGCACGUACGUGUCAGCAAGCCCAACAACCGCAACAGCGUGGCACACCCUGCUGGGUGCAAGGAGCGGUUAUGCGGUACAUGCGGUGUGCAACAUACGCAUAUUCCCCCAAGACGCGCCGCCACCGCACCUGUGCAGACGACACCACACUCGCCAGCACGGCCAGUUCGGAGCUCAGAAGCAGCAGCGGCGUCGUCGUCGUCGGCGGCGGCCCGGCUGCCUGUGCACCGCUGCCGCCGCCGUCAGCACCCGUGCGUGCCAUGCCCCAGUAUGUCAGUAGCCCGUCCGCCAAUGCAGCCGCCGCCAGCAUGUGGCCCCCGGGGGUACGGCCGGCGGGCGCCGGCUCUGUGUCGCGGCCGUGUGGUCGCAACUGCGCCGUCAGCGCCGCCGGCAGGCAGUCCUCGACGUCAAGGAGGUCGCCGUAGUCCACUCUCGGCCGCGCCAGCACCGCAUGGCAGUGCAGCAGCAGCGCGGCGCGGGCCGGCAGCAUGCGCGCCGCCUCUUGCGCCAGCAGCCACGAGGGCAACAGCACGCCAUCCGGCCGUGGGCACUGCGGUUAGGUAAGGCGGGGUGGGUGGACAGAAACGAUAGGUCUGCAAGGUCUGGAAAGACGGCAGGGAUUGGUUAUGGAGGUGGGAGUGUUCAAGCACACACACACACACACCUUGCUUGCUUCAGCAAACUGUAUGCACAUUGUCGACCGUCUACCAUUGUGCUUAUCUAACACACAUUGGCACUCACGCCGCCACAGCCCUCCACUGCAUCACGAAUGGCCCGCCUCCAGCGCCCUGCACAAAUGCAAGCCUGCACCCACCGUCACAGGGCCGCACGCCGACAUGUGCUGCCGCUCCUCCACCGCCGCCGCGGCCGCAGCUGUCUGCCAGUUUGUCCGUAACGACGUCGCGACUGCGCGGCUGUCCAGGAAGGCGAUGGCGCCCACCAACGCUGACAGCGCUCGACCAACAGCCCGUAGCACGUCGGGGGUGUGAUGCUCGGUUGACACGGCGUACGUAUCGCAGCACUUGGUGUAAGUAUACGCCGCUGUAAGUAAUCUACCCCACUGAUCGUGCUCUGACUGCAAAAGCUCGGCCUCCUGACGCUCCUUCGCCGCCGCGGCCUCAUCCGUCGCCAGGCCCGCGUGCACGGCCAUCACGGCGCGCGCGGUGGCGGCGGCGCGCAGGUGCGGGCGGUAGCCCGACACGCACGCGCGCCCAUGGCGGCCCAGGGCGCAGCGGGCGCGCUGUUGGGCCUGCAGGUGCAGGCCGCUGUCGGACAGGGCCGACGGCAGGUCGGGGCAGGCCAGAGCCACCAGCGCCGAGCGCUGCCGACGAGCCAGCGCGCCCGCCAAGCGUCCGCGGCCCAGAUCGGUGGGAGGUGCAUCUUCUGGUGGCCCAACGAGCAGCGACUGGCCGCCGCCAUGCUCACCGCCGAGCGUGGGAAAGCAGAUGAUGUCGCGUCCCAUCGCUCGAUUCGCUUUCCAAAAAGCCCCACGCCCCUAGGCAUAAGACAUAACUGCCGAUUGGUGUAGAGAAUGUGUCGGCGUCCAUGCGUUUUUAUUCUGCUAAUGAACGGUGUUUGACAGUUUUAGCCACUGCUCAGGUCGACGUCGUUGUUCAGAAGCAUGCUCUGGGCAAGCAGUGCUUUGUUUAACAGCUGUCUGUGUCGUGUCCGCCAGACCAAUUGUGUCCAUGCUUCAGCACUCACACGCCGUCCCGUGCACUCGUGCUCCAGGCUUCACGCCCUGCGCUCUUCUCUGCCACCCCCGGAUCUUGACUGACAAAACCAGAUGUAUCAACCAGCGCCCCACGCUCAAGGAACUCCGGCAUCCUUCGCUGCUCCUGGAAUGCCGAAUCGUACAUACGUCUGCGGCCAGCUGCGGCCUUUCAUCUCUUCGGGGUUAACCGGGGCCCUAGGGUCCCCCCAUCGUCCAGGCGCCGCGCCCCACCCGCACGGAGCUGCCACCAUCCAGCGACUCUACGCAACAGGCUCCGCGUGUCUCGGUACAGAAACUCCGGCGUUGUACCAGCCGCGCAAUUGGCCUUGGCGUUGCAAAUUGAACGUUGGGAAUAUGGUGCACACACGGGACUACGCCAACGUGCCCCUUACGCUGUCCCAUCACACCCGUCUCUACGCAGUAGGCUCUGCGUACGGCAGCGGCAUCGGAGCAUAAUCCCACAGCUGCCCCAGCUGCUCGCCAGCCGCCGCCUGCUCCACCACCCGCUGCACCGCCGCCGCCACCUGGGCCUGCAGCAGCUCUGCCGGCUGCGAUGCGUCCAACCGCAGCCAGCGCCCAUCCGCGAGUGCGCCGUACUGCGACCGCACCUGCACAGCGCAAACGAAAUGUUCAGCAGCCCAACCCCUUCUGCAAAAUGCUGCAGGUGCGUCAAUCUGCACCGCACCCGCUCGCCACCCGCUCGCUCCAUUGCAGGACCGCGAUGCGCCACCUUGCCUUCUUUUGGAACUCCAGCUUCUCGUAGCGCUCGCCGCCAAAGCCACCGCGCGCCGCCGACAGCUCCGGAUCCAGAUCCAGAUACACCACCAGGUCUGCUGCCGGCAGCCCACUCUGGGGACAUGUACCAUACGGUGUACGGAGAGGAGGUGGGUUAAGGCACGCGAACGCCAUCUUAAUUCGUGUGUCCGUGCCACCCUCCAAUAUCCUGCCUACCACUGAGCACGCCAAAGGCAUGACCGCCUGGCUUCAGGUGGCCCCCAGCCCCGUGCCCCAGCCCCCAGUCCCCUGACCUACCUCCACAGAGCGGCAGAAGUCCGGCCCAAGGUGCGGCACUCCUUUGGCUGCUGUGUAGGCCACGCCGCUGUAGCUGUAGCGGUCAAGCACCAGCGUGGUGCCGCCCGCAAGCAGCCGCAGCAUCUCAUCCCUGGAGGGGUCAGGCGGUAGAGCUCGUCACAUUGCCACUUAUACGGUGUGCAUGAACCCUCAGACCUCACAAGCGCGCAAGUCAGAAAUCCACAACAUCGCCACGGCCGCUAGUCAGGGCCGUGAGUCCCCCGCACGGCCUGCGGGUGCACUCAGCCCCAGUGCCAUACACCUGUUCCUACGCAACCCCUGACCUUUUCUCGUGGCGGUUGGCCACAAAGAGCAUGUGCACGGCCGCGUCAUUGAGCGAGGCCUUCUUCUGCAGAUACUCGUUUAUGAGGCCGCCAAUCAGCGUGGUCCGGUCGGGAAAGCGCCACAGCUCGGCCGGGACCUGAACAGCACGGGCCCCAGGGUGCAGGCCAUGGGGCGCACAGGAUGGAUGCUGCUGGUGUUCUCUACCUGUAUGCCAGGCCCGAUCGCUGACCCAGGCUGACCCCUGGCCUGCCCCCGCGCCGUGGAUACCUACCCCUUGCUUUUGAAGGCUCUCCAGCAACAGGCUGCACUGCGUGCUCUUGCCGCACCGGUCGAUGCCCUCGAACACGAUAAGCGCCCCACGCCGAGGGCCCGCCAGCGCUGGCGUGCCGUUGCUUGCUGCACGGCACCGCUGAGUGCUGACAGAUAGUCCACACUGCUGAGCUAUCCCCGGCGAGGAGGGGGAGCUGCGCCAAGCUAACCCGCGACCGGCGCGAAACGCCCGCAUUUCGGAAAGCUUGCAAGGCGAGUGACUUGAAUGUCAGCGUUAUCAAGUUACUAACUAUAGGCUACACUGGAUAUUACAAAUACAUCGGCCGCGCCAAGUGUGCCAAGUAGUCCGCAAACCGCGCUGCAAUUUGCGCGGUGCACUUUGCUAUCUGAUAAGCAAGCACAAAGGCAUGUCUUGUUGAUACAAUACACCAAAAUAGUAACACAUCAUAAACCCCACAGACGACUUGGCGCGACAAUAAUGCACCGCGAUUUACGUGCCAUCCCGCAGGCCACCCCGCACCAUUACCGUGCAUACGGCACGUGCACCUUACCCCGCAUCUCCCUGCUAUCUACUCGCCCAACAGCAACAACGUUACCGCAUGCAUGCCUACGAAGACAGCACAGGCGCCUGCGACACGCCCACCGCCUCCGCCUUGCCGGCAGCAGGCUGCGCAAUCUGGACCUGCACCACCGUGUCCUCCUCAUCGGCUGCGGCCCUGCGUGGGGCACAACGUACAACAAACCAAUAAAGUAUAUCCCCAUGAUUUGGUCCAUGCCCCGUUCACGUGGCUGGAUCGGCCUGACACGGCAUACCUGGACGCGGAAUGCCAUAAAGGCUUGCACCCACCAGCCCGCUCGCCCCCUCUCCCAGCACACUCACGACUGCGGCUGCUCCUGACGCGGGGCCGGCAGCUCCAUGGGCGUGAAGUCCCAUAGCCGCCCCAGCACCGCACCCUGCAGCGUCCGCCGCACCACCGGCUCCACCACCGCCGCCACCUGCACGCACCGACACGCGCACAGACAGCAGUCCGACGUCAGCGAGCUGCGGAGGAACCAGGCGAGUCGCCCACAGCUUCUCAGGCCUUCAGCGGACGCUCUCACCUUGGCCGCUGCACCCACCCACCCAUCCACCCAAGCCUACUCCGCAUCACGUUAAUCCCACAACCAGUCACGCCAGGUAGCCAGCAGCUGCGCUCACUCUUAUCUCGCGCCCACCUGCUCGUGGAUGGCAUCAAUGGUGCCGGCGGCGUCGAUGGCGGCCCAGCGCUCAUCCCGUAGCUGGCCGAAGGCCUCCAUCACCCGCGCCUGGAACUCCACCUUCUCGUAGCGCUCCUCGCCGUACCCGCCCCGCGCCGCCGUGGCCUCGGCCGACAUGGACAUGUGCACCACCAGGUCCGCGGCGGGCAGCACCACCUGCAGGGGCGGGAGUGGGGGGCGGGGGGAAGGUGGAAGGAGAGGGUAAAGGGGCAGGGGCGGGUCAGAGGUGGUUGGUGAAGGCAUUCGGAAAUCUGAUUGGGGCUGUGGGUAGGCUGGAAGGCUUAAGGCUAUAAAGGGAGCGGUCGACUAGGGAACAUGCUUACAUGCAGCAAGCCAUUGCACAGCUGUCUCCCACCCAUGCCCCAGACAUACCGUAUGCGUAGCGCUACCCGCAUUCCCAGUCCUCGGUCGCGGACCGCGAUUUACGCCAAAUUAGUCUUACAGCAGGACAGCCCGCAAACCCUAUUCUCACCUCCAGCGACUUGCAGUAGUCGAUGCUCAGGUGCGGCACCCCUUUGGCUGCUGUGUAGGCCACGCCGCUGUAGCUGUAGCGGUCAAGCACCAGCGUGGUGCCGCCCGCAAGCAGCCGCAGCAUCUCAUCCCUGGAGAGGUCAGAUUGCGCAGGGAGCCCUCAUACUGUUGCACACAUCUGGAUGCAUACGGGCUUGGGCUCGUACAUAGCGUCGUGUGCCCGUAUGAACGGAUGGGCAGCUGACCAGGCCACACACCUCUUCUCUAGGCGGUUGGCCACGAAAAGCAUGUGGAUCACCGCGUCGUCGAGCUGCGACUGGUUAGACAGGUAGGCGUUGAUGGCUGCGCCGAUGGAGGUGGAGCGGUCGGGGAAGCGCCACAUAACGGCGUCAACCUGCCGGCAGGCAGGAGCGGAGUUGGCGAGGAACACCAGCUGAGCAAGGCACCGCGUUUGGCCCCUCCGUGCUCGAAUCUAGCACGCACUCACCCCUUGGCUCUUGAGCCGCUCAACCAUCUUGCUACACUGCGUUGUCUUGCCGCAUCGAUCCCCGCCCUCGAAAACAAUCAAUGCGCCACGCGGCCGAGGUGCAGUGGCCAUUUCUGUUGCCGAUUGCGUGCAGAGCUCUCUCUCUCUCCCGGAGGACGAAGUCUAUGCCAAUGUGAAAAGUGAACAAUGAGCGCCUAUCCUUAGUCCAAGCGACGGAAAAUUUUGACAGCGACAGUUGCGUUCCAAAGCUGGGCGAGUUCAAAUGCGAGGCUGCAGAGUUCGGCCCUUAUCCCAGCUAGGCGGCUUUCUUGACAUCAACUGCUCCCCGCGCAAAUUUUGCAGGGCCCAGAGCUGCACGCCAAUUCCCCUCUCCAGAUGGUGCCGUACAUUUUUCGCGCGGCCUUGGGGGCCGAGGCGGCGCACAAUAUGCAUUCUCUCACUUCAAACAUCCCAACAAACUCACGAAUGCCCUGUUAAUACCACCAAGCCGCUCUGAGGAGCUGCUGACGUCAAGGCGCGUCGCCAAACUUCGCGAGGUGAGCUCUCCUUCGCGCUUGUGCUCUGCAUGUUAUCGUCGUGCCCAACUCUGUGGUCCAAUGAUGGCAGUAAUAAUCUUUGAGACCUGAGACCCUGCGCUCGCGCGGGCCCAAUGGUGACAACCUGCAUUACGCUGAGGACUGCACGCCGAGCUCUGCAUACACGAGCAUCCUCAGAUUAUCCUCCGUGCGGGCCGCCCAGUCAGUGGCGCUGUCACCGCCCCUUACCUCCUGAGGAGAGUUAAAGCGCAGCCGUCUCAGACCUUGCGGUGCCUUGUGCCCGCCGGAACCUGAUGGCGGCUGUGCGACAUUUCCCCCUUCAGCUGCACACACGCAUGGCCAAUGCGACGAUGACGAAUCAAUCUCAUUCCAACGCUUGAUCAGAUCAAUUAUGAUCGAUACAAAGAGACGCUGCGUUCUUUCUGAGUCACUUGCACCGGCUUGACAUGGCACGCACACUGGCACGCACACGACGACGACGGCUUGCAUAUGCAGCCAGCUCUCGGCUGAUUGCGGGUGAUGAUUACCAAAAACCAAUAUCUUAGGACACCUUCAGAGCGGGUACAACCCGCCGUGAGACGAACUUGGUUACCCAUAACUGAACCCACUCCUGCUGGCCUCGCAUGCACGCACGCACACGCGCAUGGGGCUUCCGCGGAUGAUGCUACAUAAAACUUUCGUUCUACCGAGUAGGGUCGGCACAGCCGCCCUUUGUGGAAAAAAUUGGAGACCUGAACUGACGCAAGCGCCCAGCACCACUGUACUGCUCACCGUUACAUCCACACAGCCGUCCCUGCUGUCCUCGCCCCUGCUCCUCACCCCGCCUGCUCCACUGCCUCUCCUCCUUCCUUCAGGCCGUAACCUGGCGUCACCCAUCACCCAGACCAGCGCGCCCGUCACACCAGCCACCAUGUCUUCCACCAUCGCCGCCUCCUCCCCUUCCUCGCCAUGCCCCUACGUGACCACCGUCGUCCGGCCCGGCGGCAUCGCCGUCGUCACCAUGGCCAAGGAGCCCGUCAACAGCAUGGACCUGGCCAUGUGGCGCGGCCUUGAUGCCGCCCUCCAAUCACUUGAAGCCGACCCCUCGGUGGUGGCCGUCGUCUUCACCUCGGGCCUGCGCCGCGACGUCUUCUCCGCCGGCAACGACCUGCUCGAGCUGUACGCGCCCAAGACCAGCGCGGCCCGCUACGCCGAGUUCUGGGUCGCGCAGAACGCCUUCCUGGUGCGCCUGCACCGCAGCCGCCUCGCCACGGUCGCCGCCAUCCGCGGCGCCUGCCCGGCGGGCGGCUGCGCCAUCUCGCUGUGCAGCGACGUGCGCAUCAUCACGCCGGAGGGCACCAUGGGCUUGAACGAGGUGCAGCUGGGCAUUCCCGUGCCUAAAUUCUGGGGGCUGCUGAUGGGCCGCGUGAUUGGGCAUAAGGUGGCAGAGGGCAUCUUGCUCAGCGGGCGCAUGGUGGGCGCGGCCGAGGCGGCGCAGCUAGGGUUGGUGGAUGACGUUGUGCCGGCGGCGCAGCUGAUGGAGGAGGCGAUGUCGCGCGCGGCAGCUGCAGCCAAGCAGCCGCCGGCGGCGCGCGCUGCCACGAAGCUGCUGCUGCGGGAGGACUUCUGCAAGGGCUGGGAGGCGUACUACCCGACUGAGCCCGAUUUCGGCUGGCGCUUCCUCAGCAGUCCCUCGACAAUCAAGGUGCUGGAGGGCGCUAUGCGGCGGCUGUCCAGCAACAAGGACAAGCAGCAGCAGAAGCCUGCAUCCAAACUGUAGUGUCCAGCGCUGACUAUUGCUUUGCUGGUGCUUCGUCUUUCGUAUGUUAGUGCUGCGUUAGUCUCGUGUGUGCGGCAAGGGUUGUACAAAGACAUGUCACUUGUGACGAACACGAGCGUGUAAGUGUAGAUUAUGUGUUGCGGCGAUGUACAUUCAUACUUACGGUAGGGGGUCUGGCUAUCCAGGCAACUGUGUAUACUUCGAACUUCCGGUGUGCAGGUGUUUCCGCAUACAUAUUCUUUUGAUGGUUAAGGAACUUGGCUGCAUGCAAUUAGCUCAUGCAAGUACCAAUCAGGGGCGAGGGACAUGGAGGGCAUGGCAGACGUAAUGCGUCCUGCGUGCACAUGACUGUGCCAUGAAUGGCAAUGCUUGCGAUUUUAAAUCACAUGGAAUGCAUAACCCACAAGUUCAAACCACAAGGGCUCAUCAGGACAACACCGAGUGCGUCGGGGCGUACAAAUAAAUGACUUGCAAAAGCAGGUUAGGGCCAGCACGACAGGCCCGCAGCGGCGCAAGUGCAGUGUCGAAGCUGGCACACCAGGCCGGGUAGUCGGCGUAACUACCAGCCACGCAAUCUUACCUGGACGCUAAGUCGAGUGCUUGGGUCUGGGCAUACCAGUACGCUGCACACAACGGGACUACGCCAACCCCUUACCCUGUCCAAUCGCACACCGGACGUACAAUACACGAGGACAAGGCCGCUCUCGAUAUUGUGAGCCGUUGACGCCAGCCCUAGUGCGGCCGCGCUGGGUGCAACCCGCAACAUGGUAGCACCCUGGGCAGCACGCUUCGUGCGUUCAGGGCGUCCGCAAGUCGACAUGAGUGUGCGCCAUUACUUAGGGACAGCUGCGACCUGGCGUUUACAGGUUUACUGGGACAGCAGGAGGCAGCCGUGGCUCAAGGGCGAGGAGCUGGGGGCGGCGUCAAGCUGGUGGCUAGGACUGGGAGUCCCAAAGUCCGGCUGUCCGAAACGACAGAUCCUUGCAUACUUGCAGCACCUGCAGGAACGACACGGACACGACCCGGGGACACGGUGUGACUCUGGGGCCCUUCCAGCUCAUAUGGCAUCAAGAGCUGGAUCCAUUGAUGGUGGUGUGGGCCGCAAUAAUGAGCGGGUAUCCGGCACGACGCCCCGCGCGCAAUCCCACCAGCGCGUUGACCUCUACCAGUGUAGUAGGAUAGUCGGUAAAAGACACAUCUAGAUGCUCCAGGGCGCCGUCCGCGGGGCUAUAUACUUGUGUGUCGUAGAACUUCCGUGUUCCGCCCACAACCAGCUUAUACCGUACGGCGUCCAUGCCGUAAUGAGACAGCAUCAACCCAGCCCCCGCAACCAACACCGGCCAUGCAGCCGUUCAGUUCUGCGUAAACCCCACAGGCUCGGGUUCCAUGACCGCAGUUGUGACCCGCAUCACCGGUAACGCUUGGCGUGUCAGCGGUAAGCGCACGCCCCUUCAACUGCCCUUGCAACUACGGUGCUUCAUGCCCCCAUAGUUCACUGAUAUGGCGUAUCGAUUUAUGAGGCUGCCUCUUCAUACCUGGUGUGGACAGUGGCGGCCCAGCGCGGGCAUGAAGUGGUACCAUGCAAAUUGUGUUACUCACAUGCUGGAUGCGCUAUCAAUGCAUGAACAGGUACGGUUCGAGUGCACAUUGGUUCAGGCCUUUUCAUCUUCUACUUCAUUAGUAUUCUCGCUUACAACUAACGCCUCUGCCUGUGCUCCGCUACUUUAGCUUGGUUUGGUUUAGUCUGGGCUGGUAUUUACAACCCGCGCCCCCUCGUCCAGGUGCCGCGCCCCACACGCACGGAGCAGCCACCAUCCAGCAACAUGGCGGCCUUCGCCCGUGGGCUAUUGGCCGCCACUUAUAUCCAGAGGGGGGGUACAACGCUGCCUAUCUUGCCUACAUGCGCCUCCUCCACCUCCCCCGCCGCCCUGCUGCACAGAGCAACACAAGUACGAGCAAUACCAAUCUGAGCAACACUAAUCUGCUCCACAUGCAGGACUACACGCCCGAUGAUGCACAUGCAGGAUUCUGACAGCAUCCAGGUGAGCGAUUUGCUCAAAGCGGUCAGUAGCCUGCCGGCGGCGGAUAUGCGCCUGCCGGCGGCGGCGGCGGGUACCCACCAGCAGCCGGCGGGGCGUAGGGCGGCGGCGCCCCUGCCGGUGGCGCGUACGGUGACGGCGCGCCUGCAGGUGGUGCGUACGGCGACGGCGCGCCUGCCGGUGGUGCGUAGGGCGGCGGCGCCCCUGCCGGUGGCGCGUACGGUGACGGCGCACCUGCCGGCGGUGCGUACGGCGACGGCGCGCCUGCCGGCGGUGCGUACGGCGACGGCGCGCCUGCCGGCGGCGGUGGAUAGCCGCCUGAACUGGGACCCGCAGGUGGCGGGUACGACCCGGCAGGGGGCGGGUAGCUACCAGCCGCCGGUGGGUAAUUGGAAGCCAUCGGCGCGUAUGGUGAAGCGGCCGCGGGCUGCGGCGGAUAUCCCCCAGCCGCUGCUUGCGGAGCUGGCGGGUAGGGAGGCUGCGCCGGCGGGUAGCCGGGCUGGGCGGGUGGAUAGCCAGUCUGAGCGGAUGGGGCGCCGCCCUGUGAGGGGUAGGCUGGCUGCUGAGGUGCCGCGCCAGCCGCCGGCGGCGGCUGUCCGUACGGGUAGCCUCCUGCCGCCUGUUGCUGCCCAGCGUGCUGGUUGAUGUCGCUGGCGAGCCCGUAUGCGUCCUGUGGCUGAGUCGGAGGCGAGUGCUGCAGCUGCCCCGCCGCCCCUGCCGCCGCCCCUGCGCCAGCCAGUGACAUGAGUCGCAUUUGCUCCGUCGCCGCGGCCGCCUGCGCCUGCUGCUGCUGCAGCUGCUGUUGCUGCUGCAGCGCCUGGUUGGACGCCGCCACCUGCUGCGCGGCGUGCUGCGCCGCCGCCGCCGUAGCGUCAUGCGCCGCGCCGGGGUGACCGGUGUGAAGUUGCGGCGUGGCGCCCCCGGCGGCGAUCGUCACCGGCAUGGCCGCGUCCAUGCCCACGCCUGCGGCCACCAGCUCUGCCUGGAACUGGAUCAUGAGCGGCUGCGGCAGCGGCGGCGCCACCGGCAGCGGCGCGGGGCUGAAUGUGCCUGGCUGCAGCUCCAGCACCGGCACCCAGAUGUCGUACGUGCUGGGCCGCACCUGGCAGGGCAGGCCAAGCGCAAAGAAUGGAAUGGGUGUGACGGCGUGCUUGCAGUAGCCCCGAACUGCACUACUUCCAACAAAACAGCAGGAGCUCCCAAACCAAACCAAGACGAACCUCUUCAAAGAUGCGUUACCCCCAGCAACUGCGCAAUUCCAAGGCCGGCAAAACCUUAGUCCGGCCCCCGCUGCCUCACCUCGCGGUACACGGGGUGCUCCACGCGCAGCUGAAAGUGCAACGAGCCGUCCGCGGCGCCGCCCGACACACCGCCCGCCAGUGUGGCCGCCGCCGCCGCGGGGCCAGUGAGCAGCGGCCGCUCGUGCACGUCGGCCCUGAGCGGCACAGGUGCGGCAUUAGACAGCGCGGUAAACAUUCUGCGGCUUGCGAGAAAGGCAUGAGACACGCAUGCGCCGGCUUGCUUUCACUACACCCGUUUCCCGCGUUCUAUUACGCACUGUACCCCGCGGCCACACACGUACCAGUUACGUUGGCCCUUGAGCAACAUGCCGUCCUCAAAGAUGCCGCGCAUCUUCUCGCGGGUGUUCUGCGUCCAAGCCGCGAACAUGGGGCAACAGGAAACACUGUACGACUGGAGACUACAGCGUGUGGCACAACUCAUGGGGUUGCGCUAGCCGCUUGCCUAACCAGCCGGCUUGCGCGCCUCCUCCUCGCCACAGCUGUCGCCCCAUCCCUUCCAUCACCGGCUCACGUUGUCCAGCAUCCGCGGCUUGUUGCUAGCGGACAGGGCCUUGAGCACGGCCUCGGGCGGGGGGAUGUUGCCGAUGGCGGAGCUGAUGAUCUGCUGCAUGUACCUGUACCCCGGGGGCGGAGGGGCGAUGGGAGGACGGACGAGGUGGUGAGCGGAGGUAGCGCGGGGCAAUGGCGUGGACAUACAGGAAAAACACGGUCGAAAGUUUGGGCAUGGAGACAGGGCCGGUCAGCAUGCGUGUUACCACCGGCGCAAGUUUUGUUGUAACCUUGCGACCAUGCCCUUGCGGGUCGAACGAUGUCGACCUCAGGGCAUACCGAUACCGAAGCGCGCCCUUUCCCGGCGCACCUGAAGUCGGUCUUGAGGUUCUGUUUGGGGUAGGUCUGGUACAUGCCCAGCCCCGCACAGUGCACGUCGCCGGACAAGAUGGUGAAGCGGAAGCCGCGCGCCUGCGACCCAACCCAAGUGGCGCGAGGCAUACCAAUCAGUGGACGAUGGCGCCUGCAAGCCGAAACAAACCCAAGCCGUUGCUCCCACGUCUUCACCACGGGCUGCAUCCCGAGGACGGCCAGUGCAGUCCCCCGCCCCCCGCCACUCACCAGCGCCAGGUCCUGCAUCAUGCGCACCAGGCAGAACUUCUCCACCUCGUGCACGUCCGCCGACCAGUGGUCCAGCAGGUCGUCCAGCAGCUCGGGCUCGCCUGGCGGGUGCACGCAGCCGGCAUGAGCAUCGGCACCAUCACACAGCGAGCAGCUACGCUUGUGACGUGGUGCGUAGGCGUGUGGCCCCGUGCCGUGCGAGGUAAGGCACGCAGGUGGCAGCCGUGCCGUCAAGAGGUGUCAAAACCGGCUGCUGCUAGCGACCGUGCGUGCUGCUGUGUGCGGCCCUCUCACCGAACGCGUUGAACAGGUGCUCUGACAGGCCGGUCUUCUGCAGGAACGCCGUCAGCGCGUUGGCCAUCACGCCCGUGCCCGCCAGCGCCACUGCAGCGGAGCACACCAACAAGGCCGGGUCGCGAGCCUCGUGACAGUGCGGUAGGUGUCAAGCGCGCAAAAGGCAGGGCCCUAACAAACACCACAGCACCCCCCCUUUCCUUCCGACCUAGCAUGAUGCCGAUCCCACUUCGCCGCUGUUAUCCCUGAACAAUACUUACUCAUGGCGUCCUCCACUCCCGGCACGGAGGGGUAGAUGGUGGGCACCGUGGCCACCACCACCACGUGCCGCACCCCCGCCGGCAGCUUGGCGCACUGCGGAAGCAGCGCAAGCACCGGACACAACCAGACCUCAGAGCCAGUGGCACAGCAGCCCACGAACUACCUGUUAGCGCGCUGACCCAUCAUGCUUGCGCUGCACCUGCCGCGCCCGACCGCGCCGCACAGUGUGGCCCCGGCAUCUCCCGCAUCCCCAUGCACGCACCUGGUCUUGGAAGGCGGCCCAGGAGGCGGGCCGGAUGAUCUGCUCGCGGGUGCGCUCGCCGCGGCUGUCCAGCCCGAUCACCGCCGUGGUGGAGCCCACCAUGCGCGUCCAGGACAGACCCGUCAGGCCCCAGCCCUGGCGGACGACACACAGAGCAGCGCGAGUGAGUGAGGAUAUGCCGGCAAGGACGCACACGGCCAGGAUUACUGCCCGGCCGUGUCAUACCACUCCCGGCGUGUCAGGAGCACCAGGAUGUCGGGCGCUGACGGAAGCUGCUGCAGCCGCACGCGUCCCCACGCCCCCACAUCCACCACUGCCCGAACGCACCUUGUUGAGCUGGCGGUGGUUGUCCUCCGCGGCGUGGCACUGGAACAGCAGGUAGAACUUGCGCGCCACGAAGAAGAUGCCGCUGAAGACGGGGCAGUUCUGCAGCUCGGGCGGGUAGGAGCCCCAGCCGUCGAAGAUGUCGUGGUCGUCCCACAUCAUGCACUGUAACAAGGGUUGUGGUGUGGAGCAGAGGGCGGGUGGCAUUGUUGGGCUCGCAACCUGGACCCGCACAAAAGCUCACUGUUCUUAAGCCCUCCACACCUCCGCCAGGUACCGGUACGCCGGCAUGCGUGUGCGGCCUCCCCCCUCACCUGCGGGAUGCAGGCGAGCGCUUCCGCAAACACCUCCUUGGCGAAGUGGUGCGUGUAGUUGCGGAAGUAAAAGUCAAACGUCUCAUUGACCAUGGCCUGGCUGAACGGGUGGCUGUUGCGGCUGGGCCGGUCGCUCAUCAUGGUCCACUGCGGAGGAUGGGAGGCGCCGGGAUGGAGUGUGGGGACUACACGGCGGCACCCAAUAAAUGCGCGGGAAGAAGACGGAGCAGGUCGCAGCGGUAAGUACCGUACCGGCAUAGCUGCCCCCAGGUAGCUGCAUGCCCAGACCAUUUCUUACCGUGACCAGGCUCGGUAACUUCCACACGUCUGCGCAGAUCAGGCGUUACACAAAACACAUGCAGUGCUCAUACAUGGGAAGGGACAGUCUGCGUCCCGCCGGCUGUUUACCCUACACAAGCGCAAGCCAGCUUCCACGUCUUACGCACAACGCCACCUCACGCCACGUGGCCUUACCGUCGCAGUACAGCUGGUCGCCGCCUCCAAACAUGACCUGGGGCGGCCAAGGGGCGUCAAGCAACACCGGUAUUAAACUCGCCACGACAAGCACAACCCAGAUGAAUAGCAACAAUAUCAACCUUUACCCCAUGCGCUCACGUGGAUGGGGUCGCGCUGGUGCACGUGCAUCACGUCCCGCCACAGCGGCUGGAUGCCGCCAUGCGCCAGCUCGUCGGCGGGGUCGUGGAAGCCGUUGCAGGAGUGGAAGCCCCAGUGCCACUUCUGGUUGGCAGAGGGCAGCUGGAUGUUGUACUUCUUGUGGGUGGUGAAGAAGUGGUCGGUGGAGCACACCACGCAGUACUCGAGGGUGGCGGGCGCGCCGCCCAGCUGCAGCGCCAGGUCCCAGCGCCAGAAGUUGUAGCCGGCGUAGGACCACAGCCGCACCGGGUUGCGCAGCACCACGUCACUGCCGUGCUGCUGCUUUUCGCUGUGCAUAUUAGAGGGGGCAGGCAGAGGGAUUGGGUGUUCCAGGCAUGCGUACGGUAGUUGAGUGAUGGUGCGAAGAGAAGGUGCGAGCAGCGUGGCGCGUCGAGGGCAUGUUGCCCGAAGGCGGGGGCAUGGGUCUGGGGGAGGUCUCGCCCACAAGGUUCCCGCAUGCGAACCGAGCGUGGCCUCGACUCACCGGUAUCGCAGGCACGGCGGCAUGGGGCUCUUGUUCUGGUGGAUGAUGACCAUCACCGACAGCUCGUACAGGUGGCUGGAGGGCGUGUAGCCCUGGAAGCGCACGUAGGGGCCGUACGUGUCGUCCAGCGGCGCCGGCCCGGAGAAGUUGGGGUCUACCGCGGGGCCGUUAUGGCCGGCGGCGGCCUGCAAAUCAGACCGGGGGGCACAUUUCGGACACCCGUGUAUAGAAAGCACUGCCUAUUGCACUGGCUGCAUCAUAUAGCCGCAGCACGGCAGCCAAGGCCCAGGCUUCCAUAUGCACAUGUAGCGUGCCGAAUGCUCACCCCGGUUGCCCCGCCAGGGCUCUGUUCUGUCGGCGGCCGGUUGAGCAGGCCGAACUUGGAGGGCGACAGCGGCGACGUCUGCAGGGCGGCCACCUCCUCAUGCGGUGGCGGAGCCCGCGAACACAGGCCCGUUGGGGGCGGCACCACCGUCACUGCGGGGGCACAACAGGUUCCCACUUCCCCGGUGAGGCACGGAAAUGGCCUCGUCCCGGAAGGCGCCGCGACACGUCCCCGUGGAUGCGCCUGGAUGCCUGGCUGCCUGCCCUUCCGUACGCAUCAACAGCUGCCAUUGCGCAUGGCAUUGUAUGCUGCCCCGCAAUGUGCAACGAGUGCCACGCCCGCCAACCGCUGCACCUCACCUCCAGCCUGCAGCUGCUGUUGCUGCAGGGCCGCCGCGUUGGCUGCGGCCGGCAGCGAGGGGUCUUGGGCACCCUGGGCUGCAGCAGCCGUGUCCUUCCCGCGCCCGAACAAGCCGAAAAGCCGCCCCGGCGACAGGGUGCGUCCCGGCUGCUGCUGCCCUUGCUGGUCGGGGUCCGUGCUGGGUGCUGCAUUCUGCCCCGGAGAGCCUUGCUCUGCAGACGGCGGCAAGCGUUCCGCAGAAGCGUGGCUUAGUCAGAGCCCUGCCCGGCAUCCAAUUGUCACAUCAGUGCGUAGGCAAAAGCCAUGCUUUACAUGCAUACGUAGGUGUGGCAGUGGCAGCACGGUGCUCAGUCCCGAGGAACGCCUAGUGUCUCCUUUUUAGCGCCCGCAGACCUGGCUUGUUCUUUGAGAAGAACCGCAUGAACCCAGUCCGGGGCGGUGGGCUGGCGCUGUCUGGCGCGCCGGCUGGCGGGGCACUGCUACCCGCGCCAGCCGGCGGUGGGGUGCCGGCCGGGGCUGGAGGCGGGGGUGGUGGAGGCGGGGGAGCGCCAGGACCAGGGCCACCUGGCACCGCUGGGUAAGCUGGCGGGGGGGCCCCGCCGUACUGAGGAUGCUGCUGGCCAGGUGGAGGGUACAUUCUUCUAGGUGCCUGCUUGCUGCAGCGACGCGGGGGCGGAGUUGACCGAAGUCACAACUUGUUUCUGAUGUUGCGGGAGCUCUCCACGUAUUCCCCCGUCGGUGAGCUGCGCUCCCGUUAAGUCAAUAGCAAUGCAUGCUUAACCCAAGCGCGUCUAUAAUCGCAUGUAUAGCACUUUCUGGGCAGGCGUAGUCGAAACUUGAGUGGAGGUGUGUGAACGAGCUUCUCGGGCAGCCUACUGGCUAGUCAUUACUGCUCGUGAGAAUUGUCUGGCAGACUGCAAGUAGGUAAUGUGGAAAAGCCACUGACCCGACCCGAGCGACUGCCAAGUGCAUUUGCCCGACAGAUGUGGCCUAACUCCCAGACAGUGCAUGAAGAAGGUGGUAGCUUGCAAGGCCAUCUUUCCAAUGCAGUGUCUGGGAGUCAGGGGAAGAGGAAGGGUUGGGCUGCAGCGAGUGCAAACCCUUCCACUGCCAAGCGCGCGAUUAUCAUAGACUUCACGCAGCUAAGAUCUCAUACAGAUGAGCUAACAACCUCGAGUGACCUGCGUCCUGCUUAACGGGUCGGCUCAAGCUCAUUUGCACAUUUGCUGGUCCAAACGAGCGCCAGUCCACACCGCCAAACCCUGCCGCGCCCAGCAGCCCACCAGCCCAGCAAUAAGCAGGCCAAUUACGUCAGCACGGAAUGCAUCACGCCUGCAAGCGCGCUCGAAGGCUCGAAGUCGGCAUCGUACAGCCCCAUUCCGGGGCGGGGGAGUGCUUAUAAGCAACGGCGCCCGAUUUGCCAGGCAUUCACAGCUCUGCUUUUACUCCCCUUAACCUUACAUUAUCAUCCCAGUUGGGACGCGGGUCAUUACCCCUCGCGAACCCAGCGUAGGAAAAGCUCCCUUCUCCUUCCCCUGAUUUUCUCCGUCUCCUCCCUUCGCAACCAUGCGUGAGGUCAUCUCCAUCCACAUCGGCCAGGCCGGUAUCCAGGUCAGUUGACAGAGCGAGAGCGCGCUGGGACGUCGUUGCCGAGUUUGAAUCGCCUUGCCUCCCCCCCGCGGCCUCCAGCUGUGUCCGAUUAGCCUUGCUACUUUGCUGCUUGCUGUGGCCAUGAGUUGCUUCUUUCAAGCGCUUGUGCCAAGUCGCGGCGAGCUACACCCCCCCGCGUUCAAACUUCGAGGAUCUUGGCGCUGACAUUGCUCGCUCCCGCUUCCUCCCUUGCCCGGACAGGUGGGCAAUGCCUGCUGGGAGCUCUACUGCCUGGAGCACGGCAUCCAGCCCGAUGGCCAGAUGCCCUCCGACAAGACCAUUGGCGGUGGCGACGAUGCCUUCAACACCUUCUUCUCGGAGACCGGUGCCGGCAAGCACGUGCCCCGCUGCAUCUUCCUGGACCUGGAGCCCACCGUGGUGGAUGAGGUCCGCACCGGCACCUACCGCCAGCUGUUCCACCCCGGUGAGUGACGCCAAUUCCACAUGUCACGCGACGUCGAGCUUCUGUUGAGCAGCUGGCCCAUUGUUAAAUGUGCAUGCUUAGGCGCUCGACAGCCAAAUGCCCAUGGGCGUGCAUAUCUUACAGCCCAGUUUUCGUACCCUUGACUGCGUUUCCUCGUCUCGCUCUUAACAUUGCCUUUACCCCCUUCCCGCCCACAGAGCAGCUGAUCUCCGGCAAGGAGGAUGCCGCCAACAACUUCGCCCGCGGCCACUACACCAUCGGCAAGGAGAUUGUCGACCUGGCCCUGGACCGCAUCCGCAAGCUGGCCGACAACUGCACCGGUCUGCAGGGCUUCCUGGUCUUCAACGCCGUCGGCGGUGGCACCGGUUCCGGCCUGGGCUCUCUGCUACUGGAGCGCCUGUCGGUCGACUACGGCAAGAAGUCCAAGCUGGGCUUCACCGUCUACCCCUCGCCCCAGGUGUCGACCGCCGUCGUCGAGCCCUACAACUCGGUGCUGUCCACCCACUCCCUGCUGGAGCACACCGAUGUCGCCGUGAUGCUCGACAACGAGGCCAUCUACGACAUUUGCCGCCGCUCCCUGGACAUUGAGCGCCCCACCUACACCAACCUGAACCGCCUGAUCGCCCAGGUCAUCUCGUCGCUGACCGCCUCGCUUCGCUUUGACGGUGCCCUGAACGUGGAUAUCACUGAGUUCCAGACCAACCUGGUGCCCUACCCCCGCAUCCACUUCAUGCUCAGCUCGUACGCGCCCAUCAUCUCGGCCGAGAAGGCGUACCACGAGCAGCUGUCGGUGGCCGAGAUCACCAACGCCGCCU
rnacentral:lncRNA from 1 species